GAAUCGAGCUUUCUCUACGAUGCCCAUCACUUCGAUCAAUCAACCAAAGCACCCCUUUAGAAAUCGAAACGCUUUCCGUGAAUUUUUCGGGUUUAAUAAUCAACUCACACAAAUAUUACCUCCAAAUUGUGGAAAUCAACACAAACGACGUGUAUAUCAAAAGUGGAGAGCUCCAUGGAAAAAAGCUGCCGCACCAACUCCGACCAUUCACGAACUGCAGCCCAGGCACAUAUAUUGGGUUUGAAAAUGAUACCGACAGUAUCGAAUGGGCCACUAGUUCCAAAGAUCGAAAGGAAGCGGUUGCCUAUCUAUACGAAAGAGUGCUGGGGAACCGGAAUAUCCCAAUCAAAGUGAGCAAGUUGGAUAUCAAUAGUAACACUGUAUAUUUGGAGGGCCUGAGGAAUCUGAAGCUCAGCGUGAGUGAGCUGGAACUUGAUGACUAUACUGGGAGAACACAAUUGCUGAGCUCAAUAGCUCUAUACCUUGAUCCAUCAAACUUCCCAUUAAAGUGUCUCAGACUUCCAAAGUUUUUGAUGGGGUGGGAAAAAGACGGUAUGCUAAACCAUCAAGUUAUCCAGACAGCAAAAUUGCUGACAAUUAACGGGUUCCCCCAAUAUAUUCACAAAAUUUCAACUCGAAUAGUUAGAGUUCACCUAGACCUCAUAAAGUCAAAUUGGGAUAUUAGCUUCAUAUCCGAAAAGCUGAUUAAAUUGAUCGAUCACUGGUUGGACAUUGGCAAGGAAGUUGGGACUAGGUUCUCAUUUGUUUGGAGCGCUACAAGGAUGAAUGCAGCACGUGAUAUCUGGAAGGCCAUACGGGAUAAAUUUAUUUUCCGAAUUAGAGAAACUCAAAGGUAAGAAGCAGGGGUGUGCGGCAAAUUUGGCAAAUUUGCCGAGCUCGGCAAGUUUGGCAAAUUUGCCGCACACCUCUGGCAAGAAGUGUUAGGUCAUUUUCCAUCUUUCCUCCUAUCAAAAUAUUAUUUCAGAACGGAUGAUUGUUUCGAGCCGCUCAAAAUUCCAUCACGCUUCUAUUCAGAAACCUGGGUCAGUAUUAGAAGAGGAUCUGGUUACGAGUGGAUUUGCAACCUUGAAGUUCGAAGUCUGUAAUAGUUUUUUUUUAAUUAUUUUUUUAAAAUCUCCUGAUUGAAUAAAAUUGCUAUCCUUUUAUCAAAAGUUUUGGUUUAGAAUGAAGCAGGACUCAUUCUCUUAAUGAGAAAAUACUGUAUUGGGCUGUUUAUGACGUCACUUUCUCUACAACCCUUUUUUCCGAGUGGCCUGUUCACCCUCGACAGGUGUAUGGGACCUCUCUCCGAGAGAUAAUGUAAAGAGUAGAGGGUGCAUGUUGGCUAGACUAGACAAGAAGACCCUCUACAUAUUUUCAGACACUUGCUAUGCACCAACUCAACACCUUACGAAGACCUUUCAGAGCCUACCGUCGGCUUUUCAACUCCUCAGCUUCUUGGAAAAUAAUUGAGUAAAGUAUUAAUGCGACUUUGAAAAUUAUUCAUUUUACAGAACACGGGACAUCCCCCAAGCUUCUGAAGUUUACACCGAGAACCGAUGGAUCUGAAUUUUUAUUCGAAAAGCAAAAGUUCUCAAAUCCGCUGACAUAUCCCUGUCUAAGAGCUGUGCACCGUCAGCUGGACCCAAAUUUGAGGUGAGCCCCUGCUCAAUAGGCUUUAGGGUAUUUAAAUCUUUUUUCUGAGCAUUAGACCCUGUUUGUUUUUAAAGGUGGAGUAGCGCCAGUGGGGAAAUUGCUUUAAAACAUGCCUAUGGUACCACAAUGACCAAAUAUCAUAGUAAAAAAAUUCAAAAAAAUUUUCUAAAUUUAAUAUGAUUUUUUGAAAAUUGAAAAAUUCUCGAAUCGCAUCAAAUUCCUAUUUGAAUUACCGCCAAUAGUUUGAUGUUCGAUGGAGCGCGCUAGCAUUAUUUUAAUUUUUAUUUAUCAAUUUUUCUUAUUUUUGAUUGAUUUUUCAUGUUUUUUGAGUAAUUUUAAUGGAAAUUUAAUGAAAAAUUCAAGAUAAAUGUAGAUUGUUCACUAAAAAUAACUGAAAACAGAGGGAGCACGUUUUUCAACGACGUUGAGCCUGAAAUAAUCUAUUUCAAAGAUUUAGGCUUUAGCGCCCGCUUUUUAAUGAAAAAUUAACAUUUAUCUUGAGUUUUUCAUUAAAUUUCCAGUAAAAUUACUCAAAAAAAAACAUGAAAAAUCAAGCAAAAAUAAGAAAAAUUAAUAAAUAAAAGUUAAAAUAACUCCAUCGAACAUCGAACCAAUGGCGGUAAUUCAAAUAGGAAUUUGAUGCAAUUCGAGAAUUUUUCAAUUUUCAAAAAAUCAUAUAAAAUUUAGAAAAUUUUUAAAAAUUUUUUUACUAUGAUAUUUAGUCAUUGUGGUACCAUAGGCAUGUUUUAAAGCAAUUUCCCCACUGGCGCUACUCCACCUUCAAGCCUUUAGGCUGUUUCCUGUGUUAACUGGGCUAUAGAAAUCUUAAGCUUUUGACUCUAGGCUUCCACUUUCAGAAUUGCACUUGCUCAACGCUGCCCAUCACUCCAAAAAAUCGAAAAAAGCACGCCCCUGAGGAUCAAUACCCUUUCUUUUGGCACUUAUGGCUUGAAAAUCAACUCGCACACUUAUCACCUUCAAAGAAUUAAUAUAGGAAAGCCAGAAAACACAUUUAUUCAAUUGGAAAGAGAUGCCACACUGAUCUAUGGUCUUCGUGAUACUAAGCACUUGCCUGUUCUCAAAUGCGCCACGUGUUCCAGAGACUACAGAGAAGCUCUCAUCUAUUUGUACGAAAAGGUGUUGGGAAACCGCAAUUUACCAGUCAAAGUCAACAGGAUGGAGUUCAAAAAUUAUUUUUCAAGACAAGUGUGGGACCUGAGAAAUGUUAAACUCAGAAUAAAGAAGCUGGAAGUCCAUAAUGAAAUUAAGCAGGUUCUAAGCACACUUGCUCCGUGCCUCGAUGAAUCUAGCUACCCGUUGGAAUCCCUCGAACUAGUGCAACAGUUCUUCACUUCGGAUGAUUUGUUCAACCAUCAUAUCAUCCAAACAGCAAAGGAUCUGAGAAUCAUCGGUAUCCACGGAAAUUUCCACAGACUUCCAAAUCUUAGAGUGCACAUCCAGAAGGUGAACGUUUCCCCGGCAACGCUAAUCAAAGCGAUCGAUUAUUGGUUGACCCGUGGCAAAGAGAUUGGAACUCAUUUUUCAAUUUCUUCCUGUGAAAUGUUGGAGGAAGAAGCACGAGUUUUGUGGAAGGCCAUAAGGACAAACUAUAUUGAUCUAGUUGAGGAAAAUCAGAGGUAGAUGAAAGAAGAUGAUUUUCUAUCUCCCCAUUGAAACAUAAUUUCAGAUUAAUCGAUUUUUCUCCCGAGCCACUGAAAAUCAAAUCACGCUUUUUUUCGGAACUCUGGUUCAACGUUGUAAAAGAAUCUGGUAACACUUGGAUCUGCGACCUUCAAGUUCGAAAAACCCGAGCUUAAGCUUCGCAAAGCUUAUUAGUUGCUCAAGUCAAAUGAAAUAAAAUUGUUGAGCAGACACAUUUCUUUAUAUUUUUGAAAUUUCAAGCUUCAGAACAAAGCUUCAGCCCUGAACCCCCAAACAUUUGCUGGGCUUUUUAUCUAAUAAAAUAAGUUCAAGUUUAAAGUCUUUUCAUAUAAUUGUUUCUCUAUGUAGAUAUUGCAGAUUUAUUUGUCACUGGUAAUAAACUUGUUGAGCUGUUAUUUUCAGUAUUAACAGUAUCAAAAUUUUCAAAGAUACAACCCUAUGAAAUUAACUAUCCAAUAAUGUAAAAUUCACUGCUGGCCGAUUUGUGACGUCUCCUUCAGCCUCCUUUCUAGGGUUACCUUGUCAUUACCUUCUCGACAAGUGUGGUGUUUUUCCAGUUGAUAUUUUCGAAAACGACUGGCGUCCUCCAUUUUUCAAUAGAAUUUUGAUUCUUUUUUUUUUGGAAUUCCAUUUUGUAUAAUCCUACUUUACAAAUUUUUAGUUCGAAAAUUCACGGCUGCGCCAACGCGCAGCAAGCGAGCUCCACCGCAAUUCGACGCCCAGGAGACUGUAUCUUUUUGACCUAUGCAGUGGUCUCUGUCUUUGGCGCUGCAAAACACUAAUCGACGCACCAUAAGUGUCUCUUCCGCUCACUUGUUUCUUAUUCAUUCUAUCCAAUUUUUCAAUCUUCUUACAUUUUUCUAUCUCUCUUUUUAAAAUGAUCGGUUCUUAUCUUAAAAUCGACUCAAAACCUUUGAGCUAUCAAAGUUCGAAGGCGGUUCUCAAGCAUUUGGACUACAAUUCGAGGUUCGUUUUUUAAAGUAAAUUUUUAAGCUUAAGUCUAAGCCUGAGCUCUAAGCCUAAGCCUGAGCUUAACCAAAAGACUAAGCUUCUUUUUUCAGAUUCCAACUCCACGAGCAAUGCCCAUCUCUUCGCAAUGUUCUCAAAGUCACUCCAGGCUUUCUAAACCGCCUGGAAUUUGUUGGGGACUGUGUGAAAAUCAACGGAACGACCUAUCAAUUGAAGAUGACGCCAGUCAAGCUGGGAAGCACUACCAAUCACAUUCAGCUCUGGAUUAAUGGGAACCUCUACGCAAAAACCGUCAGCGAACCGCAGAACAAUAAAGAGCUGGCUUACCUGGUCUGUAAGCUUCUGCGUCAAGCCUGGGAAGCGGUUUUGUAUGUUGGGACGCUGGUUUAUGGAAAUUUAAUUUUCCCCGGUUUCCCAAAGUUUUUCAAGUUUCACGUUCAACAUUUGGUCAUCGGAAAAGAUCAAGACGCGUCCGAUGUUCUGCGGAGAUUCGGUGAAAACUUCCAAAAUUCAAGCUUCAAGUCUUUGGAGCUAUUUCGUACCAGUAGUUUCGAGGUCCCACUGAUCCAGUCAGCGGAGAAGCUGAUUAUCAACGAGCGUAUGGACUUGAGUGCGCUCAAGAGUCGGAGAGUUCACGUGGAAUUUAAGAUCGACUCAAAGUUCCUCACAGAUCUUAUUGAUUGCUGGUUGUGGAAUGGAGCUGUGGGGAAGACCGAGAAGGAAGCUGGAUCAGUGUUCAUUUUUGCGAUGAAAGGAUUUCGGGAGGCGAGGAUGUUCGUUGAUGAUGUUAAGAUGAAGUUCGAGGGAAAGUUCUAUGUGGAUAAAAGGUAAGUAAUCCUAAAUCCGAGUUAUCACAUUUGAAAGAUCAAAUUCCACUCAUGGAAGAUCGGAUUCCACAUAUAGAGUCCGAAUUCCGAUCUUCCUUAGGUGAAAUCCGAUUGGUAAUAGCUGAAUAAUAAAAUUCUACCUGGGGAUGAUCAGAUCCCAUCUACUGAGUCCGAUUUUCGAUCUACCACAGGUGGAAUCUUUUUUUGUUCAAAGCAUAAAGUUUUCACAGUUGAAAAAUCAAAUUCCACUUAUGGAAGAUCGGAUUCCACCUAGGGAUUCCGAAUUCCGAUCUUCUAUAGAUGAGUUCAUAUCUUUCACAGCUGAAGCAUCAUAUUUUUAUUUUCCUUAUUUUUAGGUGGUCACACUACAAGCCGUGCUUUGAAUUCCCGAUGCAAAAUUCUUCAAGCUUGCAGCUUGACUACUGUGUGGAGGAUGAGAAGGUCAUUUUGGUCAUGAGAGUUGAACAAUCGCUUUGAUUUUUUAUUGAUUUUUUAAUACGUUUUAUAAUAGUAGUUUUGUUUUAUCUUUCGGCUUAUUCAGAAUAAAUUAUUGGUUCAGUUGUUUCAGAUUUUCAGGCUUAACAAUUCAGGUUUAAAAAUUCAGGCUAAAACUUUUAGGCUCUUUUCCAAUUCUCCGUCUCCCGGAAUCUGCGCUGCAAGAGUCUUUGAAAUUGAUGAGCAUGAGGGAUCAGUAAGUUAAAAAAAACUAUUUUUACGUUUUUUUUUACAUUUUAUUUGUUUCAGGUUAGCUGUAUCAGUUCUCUCGAAGAAAACAAAACGACUUAUUACAUCAGUUGUGAAUAAAAAUCAAGCCAUCGGUUAUGUAGAAAUGACAUCAUCAACAUCAAUUUUGUUAACACUUCGGAGCAGAUCGUUUACUUCUUCAAUCAAAUGUAGAAAUACGCGAAUAUUUAAACAACAGAUACAUAACUACAUACGUAGAUGUUCCAGGAUUUACUGAGAAACAAUGGUUCAAACAUAUUACUGAUGUUUUCUUCAGGAAUCCGUAUACAUUUUUGAAAAUCAGAUACUCAGCAGGAAGAAGUAUUGAAGAGGUAUUUGAAUAUACAAAGGAACUGCAAAUACAGGGUUUGAAAGUUGAGUACUCUUUAAUUCAAAACUGCGAGCUUCUCAAACUGUUCCCAUCACUAAUAUAUUUAACCGUUUAUGGCCAGGAUCCACUUCCAAAAUCUUUCCUCAAUCUGAGUUUAGAGGGUCUAGAACUUUAUUACAUUGAUGUGACACUCGACGAGCUUCUAGCUUUAAAUCACUCUGAAUUUGCUCUAAGCACUCAGAAUUGUUCCGAUAAUGAUAUAAACCUCUUCCUGAAACAUUGGAUAAGGGGAUCAAACCCAAACCUCAAAAGUCUCAAUUUAUAUACAUCGAAUGAGGAACAAGUGUUUAAUAGGGAUAUUUUCAAAGGUGUUGAUGGUAUUGAAAUGUUGAGAGAAAAAUUGGAACGAUUUUUUCCGACCAGACAAAUGUUCGAAGUCAGAAGACGUGAUGGAACGAAAGCAAUCUGCGAGGUUGACUCAUCAAAUCCGCUAUAUUUUUCUAUGCAAGUCUAUUGAUAGUUUUUAAUGUUUUUCUGUGGAAUAAAGUGUGAUAAGCAAUACUGUCCAGUUCUACAAUAAAAAAUAAACGAUUCAUUUUAAUGUCAAGAAAUCUUACAUCCGCGUAGUUAUUGAGGUAGUUAUUUCAGAGACUCAUUACAAAUCCUUAUCUCAUACCAGGAACUGUUUCAAGUCAUGGAGAUCUGCAAUCUACUCUACUUGACCUCAUCUAGAAAUUACACUUUUCGCUUGGCUGUCUGAACCUCUCGUCUAUCUUCCCACGCUAGAUGGUCCUGCCAUCUGCUCCAUCAACUCACCUAACGGACCAUCUAUCUAAUUCUUUGUGUUUUCUCAUCGUCAUGACUGCCGUCUCUUUUCCAAUUCUCCGUCUCCCGGAAUCUGCGCUGCAAGAGUCUCUGAAACUGAUGAGCAUCAGGGAUCGGUAAGUUUCAAAUCACUUCAUGAUCGGUUUCUAACUUUCCAACUCAACUUUGUUUCAGGUUAUCCGUAUCAGUUCUCUCGAAAAAAGCAAAACGACUUUUUACAGUUGUGAAUAAAAAUCCAAUCACUGCUGUAGUAAGCAUGACAUCAACAUCAUUUUGUUUUAACAGCAGACCGUUUCAACAUUUUCAAUUUGUUCUCAAUUCCGACAAAUCAAAUGUAGAAAUACGCAAGUAUUCAAGAAACGGAUACAAAUGGACAUAUUUAAAUGUACCAGGAUUCGCUGAGAAACAAUGGUUCAAACAUAUUACUGAUGUUUUCUUUAGGAACCAAUGUACGAUUUUGAUAAUCGAAAAUUCACCAGGUAGAAGUAUUGAAGAAAUAUGUGAAUGUACAAAGAAACUGAAAAUAGUAGAAUUGCGAGUUGAUCACUCUAAAAUUCAAAACUACCAGGUUCUCGAACUGCUCCCGUCACUAAAAAAGUUAAAAGUUCGUAGCCUAGAAGGCCCAAAUCCUAAAUCCAUCCUCACUCAGAGUUUAGAAAGUAUAGAUAUUAACAGUUUGAAUGUGACACUCGAUGAUCUGCUAGCUUUAAAUCACACUGAUUUCACACUACACACUCAGAGUUGUUCCGAUAGUGAUAUGAAUCUCUUCCUGAAACAUUGGAUCAAGGGAUCACACUCCAAUCUCAAAAGUCUUGCAAUAUAUAUAUUUAAAUAUAUAUUUAAAUAUUGCAAGACUUUUGAGAUUGGAGUGUGAUCCCUUGAUCCAAUGUUUCAGGAAGAGAUUCAUAUCACUAUAUAUAUAUUUAAAUAUUGCAAGACUUUUGAGAUUGGAGUGUGAUCCCUUGAUCCAAUGUUUCAGGAAGAGAUUCAUAUCACUAUCGGAACAACUCUGAGUGUGUAGUGUGAAAUCAGUGUGAUUUAAAGCUAGCAGAUCAUCGAGUGUCACAUUCAAACUGUUAAUAUCUAUACUUUCUAAACUCUGAGUGAGGAUGGAUUUAGGAUUUGGGCCUUCUAGGCUACGAACUUUUAACUUUUUUAGUGACGGGAGCAGUUCGAGAACCUGGUAGUUUUGAAUUUUAGAGUGAUCAACUCGCAAUUCUACUAUUUUCAGUUUCUUUGUACAUUCACAUAUUUCUUCAAUACUUCUACCUGGUGAAUUUUCGAUUAUCAAAAUCGUACAUUGGUUCCUAAAGAAAACAUCAGUAAUAUGUUUGAACCAUUGUUUCUCAGCGAAUCCUGGUACAUUUAAAUAUGUCCAUUUGUAUCCGUUUCUUGAAUACUUGCGUAUUUCUACAUUUGAUUUGUCGGAAUUGAGAACAAAUUGAAAAUGUUGAAACGGUCUGCUGUUAAAACAAAAUGAUGUUGAUGUCAUGCUUACUACAGCAGUGAUUGGAUUUUUAUUCACAACUGUAAAAAGUCGUUUUGCUUUUUUCGAGAGAACUGAUACGGAUAACCUGAAACAAAGUUGAGUUGGAAAGUUAGAAACCGAUCAUGAAGUGAUUUGAAACUUACCGAUCCCUGAUGCUCAUCAGUUUCAGAGACUCUUGCAGCGCAGAUUCCGGGAGACGGAGAAUUGGAAAAGAGACGGCAGUCAUGACGAUGAGAAAACACAAAGAAUUAGAUAGAUGGUCCGUUAGGUGAGUUGAUGGAGCAGAUGGCAGGACCAUCUAGCGUGGGAAGAUAGACGAGAGGUUCAGACAGCCAAGCGAAAAGUGUAAUUUCUAGAUGAGGUCAAGUAGAGUAGAUUGCAGAUCUCCAUGACUUGAAACAGUUCCUGGUAUGAGAUAAGGAUUUGUAAUGAGUCUCUGAAAUAACUACCUCAAUAACUACGCGGAUGUAAGAUUUCUUGACAUUAAAAUGAAUCGUUUAUUUUUUAUUGUAGAACUGGACAGUAUUGCUUAUCACACUUUAUUCCACAGAAAAACAUUAAAAACUAUCAAUAGACUUGCAUAGAAAAAUAUAGCGGAUUUGAUGAGUCAACCUCGCAGAUUGCUUUCGUUCCAUCACGUCUUCUGACUUCGAACAUUUGUCUGGUCGGAAAAAAUCGUUCCAAUUUUUCUCUCAACAUUUCAAUACCAUCAACACCUUUGAAAAUAUCCCUAUUAAACACUUGUUCCUCAUUCGAUGUAUAUAAAUUGAGACUUUUGAGGUUUGGGUUUGAUCCCCUUAUCCAAUGUUUCAGGAAGAGGUUUACCGUAUAUUCUCUAUUAGUGCUGCGUAUCUAAUAGAACGGCGUAUCUAAUAGAGCUGCACCCAACAGGCAUUUCCGAAAAUUACAGCGGCAGUCUCCAAUAGAGCGGCAGUCUCUAAUAGAGCGGCACCCUUUUCGCUGCGAGACCCGCCGCUGCUUUUCAGCUUAUUUUUUGAAUUUUUUUCAGUUUAUUUACUUUUUUUUCAACAUUUUUCAAUUGUUUUACGUGGUUUUUUUGUUUGAAAUCCUUGUAUUAAAACUUUACAUGUAAUUUUGAAGGAAAAUGCCAAGCAAUUCGACAACUGGUGCUCAAAAAUGCUCGAGGAAAGUUCACAGUCUGAAAUUCAAGCUAGAAGCAAUUGAAUAUGCUUCGAAGUUCAGCAAAACCAAAGCAGCAAGAGAUCUGAAGGUCAGCAGACAGUGUAUUCAAGACUGGGUGGCACAAAAAACCAAAAUUGAGUCUCAGUUGUAAGUUUGAAAAUGCUGAUUUGUGAAUGCUUAGUUAUAUAUUUGAAUUAUAGGAAAUCUACAAAUAAAACAGCUCCAAAACGUUUAGAAGGUGGUGGCCGACCAGUCCAACGCGAAACCGUGGACGAAAGUGUGCUUCGCUGGUUUCGGGAUCAACGAGAGAAAAAAUUCCGUGUGAGCAGAAAUUUAAUCAGACAAAAAGCUAAAGAAAUUUGUGGAGAGGAUGACUUCAAGGUAGCAAACUGCGUACUUUGUUAAAGAAAUUCAACUCUCAUUCAGGCGUCGACCGGCUGGCUCCAAAAGUUCAUGCGUAGGCACCACCUCAGUACACGACGAGCUACUACAACUUGUCAAAAAGAGCCUGAUGAAUUUGCCAAGAAAAUCGUUGAUUACGUUCUUUUUGUGGAAAAAAUGCGACUCCAGAACAAGUAUACAGAUACUCACAUUUUUGCAGCGGACGAGACUGCUGUUUAUUUGGACUUUUCGAACUCGUUGACCUUGAACGAAAAAGGUGCUCGAGAGGUGGGAAAAACUAAUACUCUUUUUUUCUAUUUCAGUCACCCUAUGAUGAAACGUUGUCUAAUACUCUUUCAGGUGCCAGUUAAGACGACAGGUCAUGAAAAGAUGCAUGUUACAGUGCUUCUAACUGCUCGAGCCGAUGGAUAUAAGUGCCGUCCAUAUGUGCUCCUUCCUCGUACCAGACCUGACAAAGAAAUUGCCGCAAGAUUCAAGAACAGUCUGCAACUGAGCUGGUGUAAUCGAACGUUUUUCAACGAUGAAGUGACAGAAGAUUACUUGAACACUAUCAUCGGGCCUCCUUUUUUUGGAAAAAGACUUUUGGCUUGGGACGCAUUCAGAUGCCAUAUCAGUGAUGCAACAAAACGAGUGCUCAAAAAUUUGAAAGUGGAUACAGCAGUUGUUCCCGGUGGAUGCACAAAGUUUGUACAGGUAUGAUCAUCAUCUGAAACGGUACAUAAAUUGUUCGCUUAGGCUCCCGACGUUUACUGGAAUUCUCCUUUCAAAGCUAGCAUUCGUCGAAGUUAUGAGGAUUGGAUGGUGCAUGGACAGAAAAGCUUCACAAAAAGCAACAACAUGCGUCCGCCGUCAAUGCUCCAAUACUUGGAAUGGAUUGAAAACGCAUGGAAUGAUCUUCCAAAGGAUUUGAUCUUGAAAUCCUUUAAAGGAUGCGCCUUGACAAUCGCUACAGAUGGAAGUGAAGAUAAUCAGGUUCACUGUUUUGCACCAAACGGAUCGAUUCCGUCGGGUCUGGAUCUUCUCAACAGCACGCGUAUAGAAAAUUCUCUCGUCGACCUCGUGCAGGAUAUUGGAAUCGAUGAAAGUCAAGAAGAAGGCAACGAGUCUGACAAUUCUAUCAUUUCCGUAGGAUAAUUUUUGUUUUUUUUCUGUUGUUUGUUUUUCUUUGAUUUUUUUUUCAUUUAUGAAAAAUUGUUAUUUCUACUCCACCAUUAAUUGAAACUCCUGAAAACAAAAAAAACUCGUUCGAAAAUUAGAGCGGCAGUCUCCAGUAGAACGGCAGUCUCUAAUAGAGCUGCAAUCGAGAAGGCUCUGAAAAUUAGAGCGGCAUGCAGCACUAAUAGAGAAUAUACGGUAUAUCAUUAUCGGAACAAUUCUGAGUGCUUAGAGCAAAUUCAGAGUGAUUUAAAGCUAGAAGCUCGUCGAGUGUCACAUCAAUGUAAUAAAGUUCUAGACCCUCUAAACUCAGAUUGAGGAAAGAUUUUGGAAGUGGAUCCUGGCCAUAAACGGUUAAAUAUAUUAGUGAUGGGAACAGUUUGAGAAGCUCGCAGUUUUGAAUUAAAGAGUACUCAACUUUCAAACCCUGUAUUUGCAGUUCCUUUGUAUAUUCAAAUACCUCUUCAAUACUUCUUCCUGCUGAGUAUCUGAUUUUCAAAAAUGUAUACGGAUUCCUGAAGAAAACAUCAGUAAUAUGUUUGAACCAUUGUUUCUCAGUAAAUCCUGGAACAUCUACGUAUGUAGUUAUGUAUCUGUUGUUUAAAUAUUUGCGUAUUUCUACAUUUGAUUGAAGAAGUAAACGAUCUGCUCCGAAGUGUUAACAAAAUUGAUGUUGAUGAUGUCAUUUCUACAUAACCGAUGGCUUGAUUUUUAUUCACAACUGAUGUAAUAAGUCGUUUUGUUUUCUUCGAGAGAACUGAUACAGCUAACCUGAAACAAAUAAAAUGUAAAAAAAAACGUAAAAAUAGUUUUUUUUAACUUACUGAUCCCUCAUGCUCAUCAAUUUCAAAGACUCUUGCAGCGCAGAUUCCGGGAGACGGAGAAUUGGAAAAGAGACGGCAGCCAUGUCGAUGAGAAAACAAGGAGAAGGAGAUAAAUGGUCUUGUAGACUGCGCAGCUAGGGAGAGAGAAGAGAUUCAGACAAAGAAUGGUGUGGCUGGAAAAGGUCAGUUGCUAGGCCUCCUGUGUAUCAUUAAUUCUAUUGAGCAGAGCCUAAGCAUAUUAAUCGGAUCUCCAACAAGAAAACUAUAUAUAAUAGUUGACCAAAGUUUGGCUUCUUUUCGGGCAGGCCUAUUUCAAGCUUGGCUCAGCUUUCUACUCAACUCGACCAAGUUACGACAUUUUGACGUUGCCGAAAAAAAAUCCUUGAUGCACCCCCUUUGAAAAAAAUCUAAAAUUUUCACUAAAAAAUUGUUUUUCUGAAAGUUGAUAAAAAAUAGUUGUAAUCGAUUUAAAAUAGUAAAAAACAUAUAUUAUACAAGUUUUAGCCCAUCACUCUCAAAAACACCCUUAAAAUAAUCUACAUAUCUUGAGAAAAAUUCCAAAAAGAAGAUGUUCAUGUAGACCAAUUCAAGGGUUUUUUUGAGAAUUAUGAACUGAAACUUGUAUGGUAUGAUUUUUCCAUCAUUUUCAACUAUUUGAAAACGUUUAUAUCAACUUUUAGAAAAAAAAACAAUUUGUUUUGAAUUUUUGGAAUUUUUAAAAAGGGGUAUUUUGGCACUUUCAAAAUGUCGUAACUUGGUCGAACCUGCUCUGAAGCAGCUAAAUUUUUUGGAGGGAUCAUCCGUAACUAUUCUCUAUCGAAUGUAUACAAUGGCGUAACGAUGUCCAAUAACGAGUUCAGAGCCUUUCCUUGUUAGGAGCUAGGCUUCAUGUCGAACUUUUUCGGAUAUAAAACACCAAUUAUAACAAUCAGUUAGAAAAUUUAUUGAAUGAAAAAAAAAACAUCAACCAACAACAGUCAUACAAAAAUGAAACGAAGUGCUUGCAAAUACCGAAACCAGCGCCGUCGUCCCAUCAUGCCUCUUGAACUUCUUCCGGGUCACUUCUCCAUGCUUAAUAGAAUCAAUACACCUGAUACCCUUGAAAAGGAUGGUUCCAUCGAGCCCAGUUUGUUCAUAGUCCGGGAAACAGACUUCGAAUGUUUUGAGGUUAGGAUUCGACUCUUUGAUCCAGAGCUUCAUGAAGCGGUUUAAGUCUUUGUCGGGGAGAGUUUGCAGGAAAAUUAGGAAACUGGAGCAGUUGGAUAUUAAAAUAUUGUCGAGUGAAACUUUGAUAUCGUCAAAUCGCAACUUUUUGAAGUUCCGACUCAAAAUGGAGCUGGGAAUUUUGUCCCUGGUAACUGUCAACUCUUCAACUUUAGGGAACAUUUUGGAAAGUUGAGUGUCUUGAAGUUCUGAAGAUUCAAUUUUCAGUCUUACAAUAUUCAGUUCUCGUGUAUAAUACUGAAUUUCUUUGAUGUUGAAUUUAUUCGAAUUUUGCAAUUUCAGCAAAACACCUUUAUCUUGGAUAAAAACUUGAGCAAUAAGCUCAAUCCAUUGUUUUGCGGUAACUCCCAGUACACAUUGAUUUGUAGACAGAUAUGAAUUGAAAAGUGGCCUAGUAGUUAUAUAUUUGCGAAUUUCCAAAUCCGAUUGACCAGGUGUAAUAAUGAACUCAAAGUUUUGAAACGAUUUUGUUGUCAGCCGUAAUGAAAUCGAAGAUGCUUUGUUUAUAUGCACAUAUAGCGGCUUCUCAUUGACCGCUGUGAUGCAUCGCUUUGCCUUCUUUGAAAUAAUUGAUAGAUAUAGGCUGAAAUUGAAAAUUAUUACCGAAGAAGGAAUGUUGGAUCUUACUGAGGUACCACGCACAUCAGCUUCAGAGUCUUGUUAAGUGCAAAGUUUGGAAGUUGGAGUAAGGGAAAGGAAAUUGCAGCCAUGUUGCUCUAAUAAGAAUGAGGGUUGUAUAGAUGGACCUGUUGAGUAGCAGGUGGGGUGGUGGCUGGAAGAGAUCGCCCGCCCUUCCCACCUUGUUAGACCUAGACAGCGCUGCUAGAAUUCAGUCGAUAAUAAGAGCGGUCCUGUGUUGGACACAAGAGAGCAUCUCUCACUCUCAUUCUCUCCGCGAAAAUGUCACCACAAAAAUUUGUGCUCUUUUUUUUUUAAAUUUCAGCUUUCCAUCUUAGAUUUUAUUCCAGGGUAAUAAAGUAUUGGCGCCAUAAUGGUGACCUCCGAGUGAAUCUCGAGCCUCCACGAGGACCCUUCGGGCUCUCAUGGGGUGUUAAGGUCAAGUACGCAAUCAAUUUGAAGUUGGCGAAUGGAGUUCAAGCGACAUCGAAGUCCGUCGUCCAAUCACCUAUGGCAUGAUCUCUCUCAAUGGAAGUAAUCGGGCGGAAAUUGAGAUCCGCGUGCGCAUUAAUUCAUCGUCAGGCUUGCCAAAAAAAGAUCUUAAGUGCUUCGACGAGCCGGUGGAGGACCUGACUGAUGUGGUGCUUAUUGUUGAAGAUCGGAAGUUCCAUGUUAUUAGAAAGUUCCUGGCCUCCCAUUCGUCCUACUUCAAGAAUCUUCUGCUCGGAAACUUCCCAGAGCCCGGAGGUGACGCUACCAGGCGUUAACGCUGCGGAUUUUCAGAAUUUCUUGGAAGUUCUAUAUCUAGAACCAGCUAUUGAUGGUAUCCAGUUUCUUUAAUUCUACGUAGAAAAUAUAAUUAUAUUUCAGAGAACACCGUUAUUGGGAUUCAUCACCUGGCAGACAUGUACGAUGUGGAGCCAGUUGUCCGAAAGUGUGAAAAGUUUCUGAUAGAGAAGUCACAGCUGACCGUCAAUGAGAAGCUCCAUUUUGCGAUGCAACACAGAAUGGAGAAUCUGAAGGAAUACUGCCUUUCGAAAAUCAAACUUUGGACGAUAUCCGCUCAGUUCUACCGGCUGACCUGACCCAAUUGGAUCCUUCGCUAGCAACUGUUCUUCUCGAGAAAGCAGUGGCUCAGAAAUCUCAUUCGUCGGAUGGUUGGCUUAAUUGUAAUGGUUUGCAUGAUGCCUAAACCUCUUCGCUUGAAAAAUGUCCGUUUUAAUUAAGGGAUUUUCAUGAAUAAAAGUUACCAAGUUACCAAGAUUUUAUUUUGAAAAAUAUAUUUUUCCAAUUUCGCCGUACGGGAUCGGCAAUCUGAAAAUGUACCAAAAUUGGUCUUAAUUUUGCGUCUGUUUCUCUUUUUUCUUGAACUUCACCACCAUCUUAGUAGUACCGCCUUUCCUAUAGAUCAUAUUACCUUUGAAACUUGAGAGUUUUGAAAAAUUUAAAAAUCAGUGCACAUUUGGAAUUAUAUAUUCUCUAUCGUUUACCUCAAUCGGUUUCAUGAACUUUUCAGUAUUUAUUUGAAUCUCAAUUUUACAAAGCAUAUUUAAAAAAAUUAAAAUAAUUAUUCGACAAUUUUGACAAUCAUAGUUAGAUAUAACGAACGUAAUGCAUCGACCGUUUCUCGUGCAUUUGAGCACAACACGAAAACAUGUGAUGAAUAUCAGAAGAAAAUGAAGAAUGACAUCCGUGGAGAGAUUCAAAUAUACAAACCUCGCUGGUGCUCGCUGGUAGUUAUGAAGCAGUGGCCUCGAUCGGCAGUGGUCUCAUUCGAAGGCGAAGAACGAGUUCAAGGGAUGCUCGUACUUUUUGGGGUUUUCUUCCGGAAAGGUGGCUGGCAGACAUACGACUAAAAAUGGGGCUGAACAGGGUCCAGGAUUCGUCGAAUGGAAUGGAAAAUUCAAAGUUUUCAAGGAAGAUUUGUUGUUUCCACAUUAUACCACGUGGAAUAUGCUCUACAUGGUUGGAGAGUAAUUUUCCCUGUAGUCGUUUCAACUUAAACUCAGUUAAGGACUACAGAAGUACUUUUUUAAAGUAUUAUUUUGUGUUGUAAAUGUAUGAUUUGUAAAAUUAAAUAAUAAAAUGUUCCAUUCUGAUAAUUGUUUUUUUACGAAAACGAGAGAUGAGAGAGUUUCCUCGUGACCAAGAGCCUUUCAAUUGUUUAUAGCCAAACUGUUAUGCCCAGGUGUUGUCAAGGUGCUCAAAUUUCAAAUUUUAUCAAAUUUUAGGUCAUUUUUUGAGCCACCAUGUUUUUUGAGAAGUUUCCAAGAAGUUUCAUCAGGAAAUUCGGCGUAUUCAGAGAAUUUUAAGUCUGAUAAAGCAAUACAAAAAUUCGGCAAUACAACUUUUAAUAUAUUAAUUUACAUUCUCCGUUUUGAAAUGUCUCUCGCUUUUCUUAUCAAAAACUAUAACCAAACCACAACAAUGUUUGAGUUUACAAUUUAACACCGAAACAAAAAAUCAUUUCACGAAUAAACGAGAAUUGUUGAUCACGAAUCUCUUUUUUCUAAAAAAUAAAAUAAACUCGUAAAAAAUGGACCAAAACAAUUUUAUUGGUCUCUCUCAUGAAAUUCCUCAGCCCAAGUGAAUUUCAAAGCGUAGGAGUGUACUGAGACUGGAAGAAUUACUGCCAAACUUACUUUUAAAAAAUGAAAUAAAAAAAAACAAUUGAUCUCAGGAGUUUUAUGGUUUGCAAAACUCCGCAACAGUUACGCGACUGUUAUCGUCAAUUACCCCCAAUGUUCCACCUUUACACUUUACGUUGGGAAGCUUCAUUUUUUCGAUCAUUAAAACUCUGUGUAAUUGUCGCCAAGUUUUACUGCGUAUAUUCUAACUAAAUUCCAUGAAAUUAAAUUAAACUGCUCAAAGAAAUAACCAACAAUUUUAUUUUAUUUUAUAAAAACUAACAAAUCGGAUUGGGCAAACAAAAAACAACUGGAAUUCACAUUACUCAUGCUAUUACUCAGGCAACCACGUUAAGGGUCUAAUUAGAAAAAAUGGUAAUAAAUUAGAAAAAAGCAAUUCUAAUUCGAACACGUUAGAUCACCUAUUUUUCUAAUUAGACCACCAAACGGGUUGUCUAAGUAACAAAACCAUCUUAUCUCUCGUUUUUGUAAAAAAAAAAACAAUUAUUACAAUGAAACAGUUUAUUACUUAAUUUUACAAAUCAUACAUUUACAACAGGAACAGAAAAUAAUAUUUCAAAAAAAGUUCUUCUGAUGCUCUAAAAUCAGUUCAAAUGAAAACGACUACAGGGAAAAUUACUCUCCAACCAUGUAGAGCAUAUUCCACGUGCCAGUGGUGACAUUGAAAACAGUCAGUUGUCCAUCCCAAUUGAUGAAUCCUGGACCUUUUUCAGCCCCAUGUUUUCUUGUCCAUCUGACAGCCACAUUUCUGGAAGAAAAUGCCAAGAAGUAUGAGCAACCCUUGAAGUCGUUCUUCGCAUAUGAUGCCACUGCCCAUUGAACGAACUCCUUCAUAUGAGUCUCCAAAGCAUACCAAAUGCUUCUUUCAAUUCUCCGAUACAUAAUAUUAUCCAGUUUCUUCCAAUAUUGUCCACAUGUGUACUCACUGUGCUCAAAUGCACGAGAAAUGAUCACGCUGAACUUUCCGCGAUUUGUCGAGACAAACACCAUUUCGGGUUUCACGACGUGAAUCUCGUAGUGAACGUUUUUCUCGAAAACAUACAGAUAGAAGUUGUCCCUGAAAUAUUAUCCUGAUUUUCUGAAAAGCGAAAGAUGACGUACUCUGUGAGAAUAGAAUCUAAUCCUUUUUUGAGCUCGGUGGCCAUGUCUUCGUCCUUAUCAAACGAUCCUUCUCCUUGAAUUCUCUCCACGUACUUUUUGAGUUUCGGCCAGUAUGGUCUAUCGUUCAAAUAAUGUUUCUCCCAUUGUUCGACCAGAGUAGUGUAGUAAGUUAUCUUCUCAAUUAUUUUCUUACUGUCACUUUCGUCUUUUGGAUGAAGAAAUCCCAUUGCGAAGCAUUCCAAGAGUAACUUAAAGUCAACAGUGAGUGUGUGAAGAUGUUUUAUUGAACUUACGAAUUGUGAAAGUGUGCUAUUGAGCACGUCUUUCCACUUUUGGAAUGUUGCUUUUGAAGUCAGCUCGUCUCCCGCCAUACUAACUUUGAGAGGGUUUGUCACAUCCGACUCCAGCUUGAUCAACAUAUCCUGGAAAUGGAUCGUAUCAGAAACUUCAAGCUAUAAAUCUUCUCUUACUCUGACAUAUCUCUCUGGUUUAAUUUCGUUGUAGCAUUCUUCAAAUCUCUCCUUAGUUUUCGUGUCAAUAGUCGCCACACAGUCAAUCAUGUAGUCAAAAAGAAGAGAAGCCUUGUGUGCGUAAUUCUGGAAGGAUUCUGAUAAUAUUAAUAAAAGGUUUUUUUCACUGACAUUAUAGAAAUCUUUCUCCACCAUAAACGCUUUCAAUUCGUCAAAUUGGACGACCAUCUUUUGCGAGAGCUGAAACCGUAUUCGUUUUGGUAUAAAUUUGUAUACCAUGAAACAAAGAUUACCGAUUCAAGUUGACUCUUGAGAUUUCCCAACUCUUCAAGCACAGGAUCCUUCUUUUCUGGUUUCGUCAUGUCGAGAAUAUCUUUCAGAAGUGAUCCGAAUGGACCAAAGAACUGAAGAUAUUUGGGAAACUUUUCAAAAACAAUCUUUCCAAUGUCAACCAAAUCCUUUGUGAUAGUUGCGACGUUUUUCACAGUGGUUCGAGCAUCAACUCCUUCUGCAAUAAAAUUAUUCGUGUUAUUACGUGUUUGUUCUACAACUUACGUGGAGAAUAUCCUCGUGGAACAACGGUAUAUCUCAGCGCCUCGUUGAGAAAUUCUGAAAGUCAAGUGAAGGUAACCAUUUUUUGAAAAAAGGCAAUAUACUCACUCAAUGAUUGGUCGCUGAGAAUGUCUCCUUCUUCCUUCGCAAUCGAAAUGAUCUCCAUGGUGGCUGGAGAAUAAAUUUCAAAAACUUCCGAUGGCUCCAACAGCUCCAUCGUUUUCUUCUCAUCCAUACCGUUUUGCUGCUUCUCGUGCAGAGCAUCGUACUCCGCGAAAAGCUUCGUCGUCAGUCGGUUUGGAUCGGGCUUACCGUACUCCUCAGUCUCCAUUUUCUCAACAGUUGACGGCAUUCUCGAGUGAAAUCAAAGCGACGAAUGAUGCCAAGUCUUCUCCGAAGUCUCCUUUUAUACGAACGUUUGGACAAAGAUCAGAGUUAUCGUGCCACCGAACGUGCUUACGGGCAGAUGAAGUUUAGUCGCUACACGGCGAUAAAAGUAUGUACCUACUGAUAACAUUUCUAUGAAGAAAGAGAGAGGAGGCAUAAAGACGUGCCGUUCGUGAUCAACAAUUCUUGUUUAUUGGCGAAAUGAUAUUGUGUUUCGUUGGAAAAUUGUAAAAUCAAAUAUUGUUGUGGUUUGGUUAUAGUUUCUGAUAAGAAAAUCGAAAGACUUUUCAAAACGAAAACUCUCUAUUACUACAGGGUGGCAAUUAAUUAUAUUAGUUAGGAUCUAUAGCUUGGAGUAACUUCCGAUAUAUUUGAAAAAAAAUGUCAGAAAUUAACAAAGAUGGGCACUAUGUAAAAGUCAUGUUUUGAGUAAAAUUUCAAGUGAGCCUCUAAUAUAGCUUUUCACAAACAGUAUUUGAUGAUUGUGAUAUUUUUUUACCUUUGAGCGUUAUCGAAUAAUCUAAAACACAUGUUAAUUAUAGUCAAGUAGUUUGUCUACUGUUUUACAGUUGUAUUAAACCGACCACAUCAAUAUCCGACGCGUUAGAUGACCUCAAAACCAGUAGUGGCUUUUUUUUCUUUUUUUGUUGCUCCUAAAAAUCAAAAUAGACAACUUAUAAAAAAUUACUUUGGUAUGCCUUUAAAAGACGGGCCCCAUUCCACAUGUAAGCACCUAUUAGGUUCCAAAUUCAAGCUGGUUUAAUUGUCUCGAGUGACUUGAAUUUCUGGCAUAAUAACUUUUAAUGUUGUGCAAUUAACAUUGUUAUCGUGUAGUCAAAUUAAAGAAAAAUAUUGAAAGAACCCGUUUUGAUUAAAUUCGACAUUGAAAUAAUUCCUUCAUGCCUAGAACACGUUAGUUUCUUUUUUGCAGAGCAAAUUUCAUUUAUGAAUUCUUGUUCACAAUUAAUUUGUUGUAAUUGUGAUUUAAUUUUGUGAAUUUAUAUUUUUUCUGAAAGUUAUUUCCCGACAUUACCUUGUCGCUAAAAUUAAUUGUCACCAUGUAUUAAUAGACAGUCUCCGUCUUGAAAAGUCUCUCGAUUUUCUUAUCAAAAACUAUAACCAAACCACAACAAUAUUUGAGUUUACAAUUUAACACCGAAACACAAUAUCAUCUCGCCAAUAAACAAGAAUUGUUGAUCAUGAAUCUCUUUUUUCUUCUUUAUUUCUCUACUUCUUUCUUCAUUGAUAUAUUAUCAGUAAGCAAUUACUCUUAUCGCCGUGAUGCGACUAAACUUCAUCUGCUCGUAUGAAUUUUUGGUGGCACGUAACUCUGUUCUUUGUCCGAACGUUCGUAUAAAUGGAGACUUCGGAGAAGAGUUGGCAUCAUUCGUCGCUUUGAUUUCACUCGAAAAUGACGCCGCCACCUGUCGAGGAAGUGGAGAAUGUGGAGAACGGAAGCCAGAUCCGAACCGACUGACGACGAAACUUUUCGCGGAGUACGAUGCUCUGCACGAGAAGGAGCAUAACGGCACAGAUGAAAAGAGAACGAUGGAGCUCUUGGAGCAAUCGGAAAUUUUUGAAAUUUAUUCUCCAGCCACCAUGGAGCCACCAUGGCAAAGGAACGAUUUGAAGAAUGCUACAAGGAAGUUAAUCCAUUGAGAUAUAUCGGAGUAAGAUAAUAUUUACAGUGUGAAGUUUCUAAUACAAUUCAUUUCCAGUAUAUGUUGAUCAAGCUGGAGUCGGAUGUGACGAACCCUCUCAAAGUGAUUAUGGAGGGAGAGGAGCUUCCUUCAAAAGCAACAUUCGAAAAGUGGAAAGACGUGCUCAAUAGCACACUUUCACAAUUCGUAAGUUUAUUCGAGCAUCUUCACAUACUCUGCUGACUUUAAGUUGAUGUUGGAAUGCUUCGCUACGGGACUUCUUCAUCCAGAAGACAAUAGUGACAGUAAGAAAAUCAUGGAAAAGUUGACUUACUACGAUACUCUAUUCAAACAAUGGGAGAAUCUUUAUUUGAACGACAUACCAUACUGGCCGAAACUCAAAAAGUACGUUGAGAGAAUUCAAGGAGAAGGAUCGUUUGACAGGGACGAAGACAUGGCCACUGAGCUCUUAAAAGGAUUCGAGACCAUUUUCACAAAGUACGUCAUCUUUUCGCCACUCAAUAAAUCAUGAUAAUGUUUCAGUGACAACUUCUAUAUGUUUGUGUUCGCCAGAGACAUUCACUACGAGAUUCACGUUGUAAAACCCGAAAUGGUGUUCAUCUCGAAGAAUAUCGGAAAGUUCGACGUCAUCGUUUCUCGUGCAUUUGAGCACAACACGAAAACAUGUGAUGAAUAUCAGAAGAAAAUGAAGAAUGACAUCCGUGGAGAGAUUCAAAUAUACAAACCUCGCUGGUGCUCGCUGGUAGUUAUGAAGCAGUGGCCUCGAUCGGCAGUGGUCUCAUUCGAAGGCGAAGAACGAGUUCAAGGGAUGCUCGUACUUUUUGGGGUUUUCUUCCGGAAAGGUGGCUGGCAGACAUACGACUAAAAAUGGGGCUGAACAGGGUCCAGGAUUCGUCGAAUGGAAUGGAAAAUUCAAAGUUUUCAAGGAAGAUUUGUUGUUUCCACAUUAUACCACGUGGAAUAUGCUCUACAUGGUUGGAGAGUAAUUUUCCCUGUAGUCGUUUCAACUUAAACUCAGUUAAGGACUACAGAAGUACUUUUUUAAAGUAUUAUUUUGUGUUGUAAAUGUAUGAUUUGUAAAAUUAAAUAAUAAAAUGUUCCAUUCUGAUAAUUGUUUUUUUACGAAAACGAGAGAUGAGAGAGUUUCCUCGUGACCAAGAGCCUUUCAAUUGUUUAUAGCCAAACUGUUAUGCCCAGGUGUUGUCAAGGUGCUCAAAUUUCAAAUUUUAUCAAAUUUUAGGUCAUUUUUUGAGCCACCAUGUUUUUUGAGAAGUUUCCAAGAAGUUUCAUCAGGAAAUUCGGCGUAUUCAGAGAAUUUUAAGUCUGAUAAAGCAAUACAAAAAUUCGGCAAUACAACUUUUAAUAUAUUAAUUUACAUUCUCCGUUUUGAAAUGUCUCUCGCUUUUCUUAUCAAAAACUAUAACCAAACCACAACAAUGUUUGAGUUUACAAUUUAACACCGAAACAAAAAAUCAUUUCACGAAUAAACGAGAAUUGUUGAUCACGAAUCUCUUUUUUCUAAAAAAUAAAAUAAACUCGUAAAAAAUGGACCAAAACAAUUUUAUUGGUCUCUCUCAUGAAAUUCCUCAGCCCAAGUGAAUUUCAAAGCGUAGGAGUGUACUGAGACUGGAAGAAUUACUGCCAAACUUACUUUUAAAAAAUGAAAUAAAAAAAAACAAUUGAUCUCAGGAGUUUUAUGGUUUGCAAAACUCCGCAACAGUUACGCGACUGUUAUCGUCAAUUACCCCCAAUGUUCCACCUUUACACUUUACGUUGGGAAGCUUCAUUUUUUCGAUCAUUAAAACUCUGUGUAAUUGUCGCCAAGUUUUACUGCGUAUAUUCUAACUAAAUUCCAUGAAAUUAAAUUAAACUGCUCAAAGAAAUAACCAACAAUUUUAUUUUAUUUUAUAAAAACUAACAAAUCGGAUUGGGCAAACAAAAAACAACUGGAAUUCACAUUACUCAUGCUAUUACUCAGGCAACCACGUUAAGGGUCUAAUUAGAAAAAAUGGUAAUAAAUUAGAAAAAAGCAAUUCUAAUUCGAACACGUUAGAUCACCUAUUUUUCUAAUUAGACCACCAAACGGGUUGUCUAAGUAACAAAACCAUCUUAUCUCUCGUUUUUGUAAAAAAAAAAACAAUUAUUACAAUGAAACAGUUUAUUACUUAAUUUUACAAAUCAUACAUUUACAACAGGAACAGAAAAUAAUAUUUCAAAAAAAGUUCUUCUGAUGCUCUAAAAUCAGUUCAAAUGAAAACGACUACAGGGAAAAUUACUCUCCAACCAUGUAGAGCAUAUUCCACGUGCCAGUGGUGACAUUGAAAACAGUCAGUUGUCCAUCCCAAUUGAUGAAUCCUGGACCUUUUUCAGCCCCAUGUUUUCUUGUCCAUCUGACAGCCACAUUUCUGGAAGAAAAUGCCAAGAAGUAUGAGCAACCCUUGAAGUCGUUCUUCGCAUAUGAUGCCACUGCCCAUUGAACGAACUCCUUCAUAUGAGUCUCCAAAGCAUACCAAAUGCUUCUUUCAAUUCUCCGAUACAUAAUAUUAUCCAGUUUCUUCCAAUAUUGUCCACAUGUGUACUCACUGUGCUCAAAUGCACGAGAAAUGAUCACGCUGAACUUUCCGCGAUUUGUCGAGACAAACACCAUUUCGGGUUUCACGACGUGAAUCUCGUAGUGAACGUUUUUCUCGAAAACAUACAGAUAGAAGUUGUCCCUGAAAUAUUAUCCUGAUUUUCUGAAAAGCGAAAGAUGACGUACUCUGUGAGAAUAGAAUCUAAUCCUUUUUUGAGCUCGGUGGCCAUGUCUUCGUCCUUAUCAAACGAUCCUUCUCCUUGAAUUCUCUCCACGUACUUUUUGAGUUUCGGCCAGUAUGGUCUAUCGUUCAAAUAAUGUUUCUCCCAUUGUUCGACCAGAGUAGUGUAGUAAGUUAUCUUCUCAAUUAUUUUCUUACUGUCACUUUCGUCUUUUGGAUGAAGAAAUCCCAUUGCGAAGCAUUCCAAGAGUAACUUAAAGUCAACAGUGAGUGUGUGAAGAUGUUUUAUUGAACUUACGAAUUGUGAAAGUGUGCUAUUGAGCACGUCUUUCCACUUUUGGAAUGUUGCUUUUGAAGUCAGCUCGUCUCCCGCCAUACUAACUUUGAGAGGGUUUGUCACAUCCGACUCCAGCUUGAUCAACAUAUCCUGGAAAUGGAUCGUAUCAGAAACUUCAAGCUAUAAAUCUUCUCUUACUCUGACAUAUCUCUCUGGUUUAAUUUCGUUGUAGCAUUCUUCAAAUCUCUCCUUAGUUUUCGUGUCAAUAGUCGCCACACAGUCAAUCAUGUAGUCAAAAAGAAGAGAAGCCUUGUGUGCGUAAUUCUGGAAGGAUUCUGAUAAUAUUAAUAAAAGGUUUUUUUCACUGACAUUAUAGAAAUCUUUCUCCACCAUAAACGCUUUCAAUUCGUCAAAUUGGACGACCAUCUUUUGCGAGAGCUGAAACCGUAUUCGUUUUGGUAUAAAUUUGUAUACCAUGAAACAAAGAUUACCGAUUCAAGUUGACUCUUGAGAUUUCCCAACUCUUCAAGCACAGGAUCCUUCUUUUCUGGUUUCGUCAUGUCGAGAAUAUCUUUCAGAAGUGAUCCGAAUGGACCAAAGAACUGAAGAUAUUUGGGAAACUUUUCAAAAACAAUCUUUCCAAUGUCAACCAAAUCCUUUGUGAUAGUUGCGACGUUUUUCACAGUGGUUCGAGCAUCAACUCCUUCUGCAAUAAAAUUAUUCGUGUUAUUACGUGUUUGUUCUACAACUUACGUGGAGAAUAUCCUCGUGGAACAACGGUAUAUCUCAGCGCCUCGUUGAGAAAUUCUGAAAGUCAAGUGAAGGUAACCAUUUUUUGAAAAAAGGCAAUAUACUCACUCAAUGAUUGGUCGCUGAGAAUGUCUCCUUCUUCCUUCGCAAUCGAAAUGAUCUCCAUGGUGGCUGGAGAAUAAAUUUCAAAAACUUCCGAUGGCUCCAACAGCUCCAUCGUUUUCUUCUCAUCCAUACCGUUUUGCUGCUUCUCGUGCAGAGCAUCGUACUCCGCGAAAAGCUUCGUCGUCAGUCGGUUUGGAUCGGGCUUACCGUACUCCUCAGUCUCCAUUUUCUCAACAGUUGACGGCAUUCUCGAGUGAAAUCAAAGCGACGAAUGAUGCCAAGUCUUCUCCGAAGUCUCCUUUUAUACGAACGUUUGGACAAAGAUCAGAGUUAUCGUGCCACCGAACGUGCUUACGGGCAGAUGAAGUUUAGUCGCUACACGGCGAUAAAAGUAUGUACCUACUGAUAACAUUUCUAUGAAGAAAGAGAGAGGAGGCAUAAAGACGUGCCGUUCGUGAUCAACAAUUCUUGUUUAUUGGCGAAAUGAUAUUGUGUUUCGUUGGAAAAUUGUAAAAUCAAAUAUUGUUGUGGUUUGGUUAUAGUUUCUGAUAAGAAAAUCGAAAGACUUUUCAAAACGAAAACUCUCUAUUACUACAGGGUGGCAAUUAAUUAUAUUAGUUAGGAUCUAUAGCUUGGAGUAACUUCCGAUAUAUUUGAAAAAAAAUGUCAGAAAUUAACAAAGAUGGGCACUAUGUAAAAGUCAUGUUUUGAGUAAAAUUUCAAGUGAGCCUCUAAUAUAGCUUUUCACAAACAGUAUUUGAUGAUUGUGAUAUUUUUUUACCUUUGAGCGUUAUCGAAUAAUCUAAAACACAUGUUAAUUAUAGUCAAGUAGUUUGUCUACUGUUUUACAGUUGUAUUAAACCGACCACAUCAAUAUCCGACGCGUUAGAUGACCUCAAAACCAGUAGUGGCUUUUUUUUCUUUUUUUGUUGCUCCUAAAAAUCAAAAUAGACAACUUAUAAAAAAUUACUUUGGUAUGCCUUUAAAAGACGGGCCCCAUUCCACAUGUAAGCACCUAUUAGGUUCCAAAUUCAAGCUGGUUUAAUUGUCUCGAGUGACUUGAAUUUCUGGCAUAAUAACUUUUAAUGUUGUGCAAUUAACAUUGUUAUCGUGUAGUCAAAUUAAAGAAAAAUAUUGAAAGAACCCGUUUUGAUUAAAUUCGACAUUGAAAUAAUUCCUUCAUGCCUAGAACACGUUAGUUUCUUUUUUGCAGAGCAAAUUUCAUUUAUGAAUUCUUGUUCACAAUUAAUUUGUUGUAAUUGUGAUUUAAUUUUGUGAAUUUAUAUUUUUUCUGAAAGUUAUUUCCCGACAUUACCUUGUCGCUAAAAUUAAUUGUCACCAUGUAUUAAUAGACAGUCUCCGUCUUGAAAAGUCUCUCGAUUUUCUUAUCAAAAACUAUAACCAAACCACAACAAUAUUUGAGUUUACAAUUUAACACCGAAACACAAUAUCAUCUCGCCAAUAAACAAGAAUUGUUGAUCAUGAAUCUCUUUUUUCUUCUUUAUUUCUCUACUUCUUUCUUCAUUGAUAUAUUAUCAGUAAGCAAUUACUCUUAUCGCCGUGAUGCGACUAAACUUCAUCUGCUCGUAUGAAUUUUUGGUGGCACGUAACUCUGUUCUUUGUCCGAACGUUCGUAUAAAUGGAGACUUCGGAGAAGAGUUGGCAUCAUUCGUCGCUUUGAUUUCACUCGAAAAUGACGCCGCCACCUGUCGAGGAAGUGGAGAAUGUGGAGAACGGAAGCCAGAUCCGAACCGACUGACGACGAAACUUUUCGCGGAGUACGAUGCUCUGCACGAGAAGGAGCAUAACGGCACAGAUGAAAAGAGAACGAUGGAGCUCUUGGAGCAAUCGGAAAUUUUUGAAAUUUAUUCUCCAGCCACCAUGGAGCCACCAUGGCAAAGGAACGAUUUGAAGAAUGCUACAAGGAAGUUAAUCCAUUGAGAUAUAUCGGAGUAAGAUAAUAUUUACAGUGUGAAGUUUCUAAUACAAUUCAUUUCCAGUAUAUGUUGAUCAAGCUGGAGUCGGAUGUGACGAACCCUCUCAAAGUGAUUAUGGAGGGAGAGGAGCUUCCUUCAAAAGCAACAUUCGAAAAGUGGAAAGACGUGCUCAAUAGCACACUUUCACAAUUCGUAAGUUUAUUCGAGCAUCUUCACAUACUCUGCUGACUUUAAGUUGAUGUUGGAAUGCUUCGCUACGGGACUUCUUCAUCCAGAAGACAAUAGUGACAGUAAGAAAAUCAUGGAAAAGUUGACUUACUACGAUACUCUAUUCAAACAAUGGGAGAAUCUUUAUUUGAACGACAUACCAUACUGGCCGAAACUCAAAAAGUACGUUGAGAGAAUUCAAGGAGAAGGAUCGUUUGACAGGGACGAAGACAUGGCCACUGAGCUCUUAAAAGGAUUCGAGACCAUUUUCACAAAGUACGUCAUCUUUUCGCCACUCAAUAAAUCAUGAUAAUGUUUCAGUGACAACUUCUAUAUGUUUGUGUUCGCCAGAGACAUUCACUACGAGAUUCACGUUGUAAAACCCGAAAUGGUGUUCAUCUCGAAGAAUAUCGGAAAGUUCGACGUCAUCGUUUCUCGUGCAUUUGAGCACAACACGAAAACAUGUGAUGAAUAUCAGAAGAAAAUGAAGAAUGACAUCCGUGGAGAGAUUCAAAUAUACAAACCUCGCUGGUGCUCGCUGGUAGUUAUGAAGCAGUGGCCUCGAUCGGCAGUGGUCUCAUUCGAAGGCGAAGAACGAGUUCAAGGGAUGCUCGUACUUUUUGGGGUUUUCUUCCGGAAAGGUGGCUGGCAGACAUACGACUAAAAAUGGGGCUGAACAGGGUCCAGGAUUCGUCGAAUGGAAUGGAAAAUUCAAAGUUUUCAAGGAAGAUUUGUUGUUUCCACAUUAUACCACGUGGAAUAUGCUCUACAUGGUUGGAGAGUAAUUUUCCCUGUAGUCGUUUCAACUUAAACUCAGUUAAGGACUACAGAAGUACUUUUUUAAAGUAUUAUUUUGUGUUGUAAAUGUAUGAUUUGUAAAAUUAAAUAAUAAAAUGUUCCAUUCUGAUAAUUGUUUUUUUACGAAAACGAGAGAUGAGAGAGUUUCCUCGUGACCAAGAACCUUUCAAUUGUUUAUAGCCAAACUGUUAUGCCCAGGUGUUGUCAAGGUGCUCAAAUUUCAAAUUUUAUCAAAUUUUAGGUCAUUUUUUGAGCCGCCAUGUUUUUUGAGAAGUUUCCAAGAAGUUUCAUCAGGAAAUUCGGCGUAUUCAGAGAAUUUUAAGUCUGAUAAAGCAAUACAAAAAUUCGGCAAUACAACUUUUAAUAUAUUAAUUUACAUUCUCCGUUUUGAAAUGUCUCUCGCUUUUCUUAUCAAAAACUAUAACCAAACCACAACAAUGUUUGAGUUUACAAUUUAACACCGAAACAAAAAAUCAUUUCACGAAUAAACGAGAAUUGUUGAUCACGAAUCUCUUUUUUCUAAAAAAUAAAAUAAACUCGUAAAAAAUGGACCAAAACAAUUUUAUUGGUCUCUCUCAUGAAAUUCCUCAGCCCAAGUGAAUUUCAAAGCGUAGGAGUGUACUGAGACUGGAAGAAUUACUGCCAAACUUACUUUUAAAAAAUGAAAUAAAAAAAAACAAUUGAUCUCAGGAGUUUUAUGGUUUGCAAAACUCCGCAACAGUUACGCGACUGUUAUCGUCAAUUACCCCCAAUGUUCCACCUUUACACUUUACGUUGGGAAGCUUCAUUUUUUCGAUCAUUAAAACUCUGUGUAAUUGUCGCCAAGUUUUACUGCGUAUAUUCUAACUAAAUUCCAUGAAAUUAAAUUAAACUGCUCAAAGAAAUAACCAACAAUUUUAUAAAAACUAACAAAUCGGAUUGGGCAAACAAAAAACAAUUGGAAUUCACAUUACUCAUGCUAUUACUCAGGCAACCACGUUAAGGGUCUAAUUAGAAAAAAUGGUAAUAAAUUAGAAAAAAGCAAUUCUAAUUCGAACACGUUAGAUCACCUAUUUUUCUAAUUAGACCACCAAACGGGUUGUCUAAGUAACAAAACCAUCUUAUCUCUCGUUUUUGUAAAAAAAAAAACAAUUAUUACAAUGAAACAGUUUAUUACUUAAUUUUACAAAUCAUACAUUUACAACAGGAACAGAAAAUAAUAUUUCAAAAAAAGUUCUUCUGAUGCUCUAAAAUCAGUUCAAAUGAAAACGACUACAGGGAAAAUUACUCUCCAACCAUGUAGAGCAUAUUCCACGUGCCAGUGGUGACAUUGAAAACAGUCAGUUGUCCAUCCCAAUUGAUGAAUCCUGGACCUUUUUCAGCCCCAUGUUUUCUUGUCCAUCUGACAGCCACAUUUCUGGAAGAAAAUGCCAAGAAGUAUGAGCAACCCUUGAAGUCGUUCUUCGCAUAUGAUGCCACUGCCCAUUGAACGAACUCCUUCAUAUGAGUCUCCAAAGCAUACCAAAUGCUUCUUUCAAUUCUCCGAUACAUAAUAUUAUCCAGUUUCUUCCAAUAUUGUCCACAUGUGUACUCACUGUGCUCAAAUGCACGAGAAAUGAUCACGCUGAACUUUCCGCGAUUUGUCGAGACAAACACCAUUUCGGGUUUCACGACGUGAAUCUCGUAGUGAACGUUUUUCUCGAAAACAUACAGAUAGAAGUUGUCCCUGAAAUAUUAUCCUGAUUUUCUGAAAAGCGAAAGAUGACGUACUCUGUGAGAAUAGAAUCUAAUCCUUUUUUGAGCUCGGUGGCCAUGUCUUCGUCCUUAUCAAACGAUCCUUCUCCUUGAAUUCUCUCCACGUACUUUUUGAGUUUCGGCCAGUAUGGUCUAUCGUUCAAAUAAUGUUUCUCCCAUUGUUCGACCAGAGUAGUGUAGUAAGUUAUCUUCUCAAUUAUUUUCUUACUGUCACUUUCGUCUUUUGGAUGAAGAAAUCCCAUUGCGAAGCAUUCCAAGAGUAACUUAAAGUCAACAGUGAGUGUGUGAAGAUGUUUUAUUGAACUUACGAAUUGUGAAAGUGUGCUAUUGAGCACGUCUUUCCACUUUUGGAAUGUUGCUUUUGAAGUCAGCUCGUCUCCCGCCAUACUAACUUUGAGAGGGUUUGUCACAUCCGACUCCAGCUUGAUCAACAUAUCCUGGAAAUGGAUCGUAUCAGAAACUUCAAGCUAUAAAUCUUCUCUUACUCUGACAUAUCUCUCUGGUUUAAUUUCGUUGUAGCAUUCUUCAAAUCUCUCCUUAGUUUUCGUGUCAAUAGUCGCCACACAGUCAAUCAUGUAGUCAAAAAGAAGAGAAGCCUUGUGUGCGUAAUUCUGGAAGGAUUCUGAUAAUAUUAAUAAAAGGUUUUUUUCACUGACAUUAUAGAAAUCUUUCUCCACCAUAAACGCUUUCAAUUCGUCAAAUUGGACGACCAUCUUUUGCGAGAGCUGAAACCGUAUUCGUUUUGGUAUAAAUUUGUAUACCAUGAAACAAAGAUUACCGAUUCAAGUUGACUCUUGAGAUUUCCCAACUCUUCAAGCACAGGAUCCUUCUUUUCUGGUUUCGUCAUGUCGAGAAUAUCUUUCAGAAGUGAUCCGAAUGGACCAAAGAACUGAAGAUAUUUGGGAAACUUUUCAAAAACAAUCUUUCCAAUGUCAACCAAAUCCUUUGUGAUAGUUGCGACGUUUUUCACAGUGGUUCGAGCAUCAACUCCUUCUGCAAUAAAAUUAUUCGUGUUAUUACGUGUUUGUUCUACAACUUACGUGGAGAAUAUCCUCGUGGAACAACGGUAUAUCUCAGCGCCUCGUUGAGAAAUUCUGAAAGUCAAGUGAAGGUAACCAUUUUUUGAAAAAAGGCAAUAUACUCACUCAAUGAUUGGUCGCUGAGAAUGUCUCCUUCUUCCUUCGCAAUCGAAAUGAUCUCCAUGGUGGCUGGAGAAUAAAUUUCAAAAACUUCCGAUGGCUCCAACAGCUCCAUCGUUUUCUUCUCAUCCAUACCGUUUUGCUGCUUCUCGUGCAGAGCAUCGUACUCCGCGAAAAGCUUCGUCGUCAGUCGGUUUGGAUCGGGCUUACCGUACUCCUCAGUCUCCAUUUUCUCAACAGUUGACGGCAUUCUCGAGUGAAAUCAAAGCGACGAAUGAUGCCAAGUCUUCUCCGAAGUCUCCUUUUAUACGAACGUUUGGACAAAGAUCAGAGUUAUCGUGCCACCGAACGUGCUUACGGGCAGAUGAAGUUUAGUCGCUACACGGCGAUAAAAGUAUGUACCUACUGAUAACAUUUCUAUGAAGAAAGAGAGAGGAGGCAUAAAGACGUGCCGUUCGUGAUCAACAAUUCUUGUUUAUUGGCGAAAUGAUAUUGUGUUUCGUUGGAAAAUUGUAAAAUCAAAUAUUGUUGUGGUUUGGUUAUAGUUUCUGAUAAGAAAAUCGAAAGACUUUUCAAAACGAAAACUCUCUAUUACUACAGGGUGGCAAUUAAUUAUAUUAGUUAGGAUCUAUAGCUUGGAGUAACUUCCGAUAUAUUUGAAAAAAAAUGUCAGAAAUUAACAAAGAUGGGCACUAUGUAAAAGUCAUGUUUUGAGUAAAAUUUCAAGUGAGCCUCUAAUAUAGCUUUUCACAAACAGUAUUUGAUGAUUGUGAUAUUUUUUUACCUUUGAGCGUUAUCGAAUAAUCUAAAACACAUGUUAAUUAUAGUCAAGUAGUUUGUCUACUGUUUUACAGUUGUAUUAAACCGACCACAUCAAUAUCCGACGCGUUAGAUGACCUCAAAACCAGUAGUGGCUUUUUUUUCUUUUUUUGUUGCUCCUAAAAAUCAAAAUAGACAACUUAUAAAAAAUUACUUUGGUAUGCCUUUAAAAGACGGGCCCCAUUCCACAUGUAAGCACCUAUUAGGUUCCAAAUUCAAGCUGGUUUAAUUGUCUCGAGUGACUUGAAUUUCUGGCAUAAUAACUUUUAAUGUUGUGCAAUUAACAUUGUUAUCGUGUAGUCAAAUUAAAGAAAAAUAUUGAAAGAACCCGUUUUGAUUAAAUUCGACAUUGAAAUAAUUCCUUCAUGCCUAGAACACGUUAGUUUCUUUUUUGCAGAGCAAAUUUCAUUUAUGAAUUCUUGUUCACAAUUAAUUUGUUGUAAUUGUGAUUUAAUUUUGUGAAUUUAUAUUUUUUCUGAAAGUUAUUUCCCGACAUUACCUUGUCGCUAAAAUUAAUUGUCACCAUGUAUUAAUAGACAGUCUCCGUCUUGAAAAGUCUCUCGAUUUUCUUAUCAAAAACUAUAACCAAACCACAACAAUAUUUGAGUUUACAAUUUAACACCGAAACACAAUAUCAUCUCGCCAAUAAACAAGAAUUGUUGAUCAUGAAUCUCUUUUUUCUUCUUUAUUUCUCUACUUCUUUCUUCAUUGAUAUAUUAUCAGUAAGCAAUUACUCUUAUCGCCGUGAUGCGACUAAACUUCAUCUGCUCGUAUGAAUUUUUGGUGGCACGUAACUCUGUUCUUUGUCCGAACGUUCGUAUAAAUGGAGACUUCGGAGAAGAGUUGGCAUCAUUCGUCGCUUUGAUUUCACUCGAAAAUGACGCCGCCACCUGUCGAGGAAGUGGAGAAUGUGGAGAACGGAAGCCAGAUCCGAACCGACUGACGACGAAACUUUUCGCGGAGUACGAUGCUCUGCACGAGAAGGAGCAUAACGGCACAGAUGAAAAGAGAACGAUGGAGCUCUUGGAGCAAUCGGAAAUUUUUGAAAUUUAUUCUCCAGCCACCAUGGAGCCACCAUGGCAAAGGAACGAUUUGAAGAAUGCUACAAGGAAGUUAAUCCAUUGAGAUAUAUCGGAGUAAGAGAAUAUUUACAGUGUGAAGUUUCUAAUACAAUUCAUUUCCAGUAUAUGUUGAUCAAGCUGGAGUCGGAUGUGACGAACCCUCUCAAAGUGAUUAUGGAGGGAGAGGAGCUUCCUUCAAAAGCAACAUUCGAAAAGUGGAAAGACGUGCUCAAUAGCACACUUUCACAAUUCGUAAGUUUAUUCGAGCAUCUUCACAUACUCUGCUGACUUUAAGUUGAUGUUGGAAUGCUUCGCUACGGGACUUCUUCAUCCAGAAGACAAUAGUGACAGUAAGAAAAUCAUGGAAAAGUUGACUUACUACGAUACUCUAUUCAAACAAUGGGAGAAUCUUUAUUUGAACGACAUACCAUACUGGCCGAAACUCAAAAAGUACGUUGAGAGAAUUCAAGGAGAAGGAUCGUUUGACAGGGACGAAGACAUGGCCACUGAGCUCUUAAAAGGAUUCGAGACCAUUUUCACAAAGUACGUCAUCUUUUCGCCACUCAAUAAAUCAUGAUAAUGUUUCAGUGACAACUUCUAUAUGUUUGUGUUCGCCAGAGACAUUCACUACGAGAUUCACGUUGUAAAACCCGAAAUGGUGUUCAUCUCGAAGAAUAUCGGAAAGUUCGACGUCAUCGUUUCUCGUGCAUUUGAGCACAACACGAAAACAUGUGAUGAAUAUCAGAAGAAAAUGAAGAAUGACAUCCGUGGAGAGAUUCAAAUAUACAAACCUCGCUGGUGCUCGCUGGUAGUUAUGAAGCAGUGGCCUCGAUCGGCAGUGGUCUCAUUCGAAGGCGAAGAACGAGUUCAAGGGAUGCUCGUACUUUUUGGGGUUUUCUUCCGGAAAGGUGGCUGGCAGACAUACGACUAAAAAUGGGGCUGAACAGGGUCCAGGAUUCGUCGAAUGGAAUGGAAAAUUCAAAGUUUUCAAGGAAGAUUUGUUGUUUCCACAUUAUACCACGUGGAAUAUGCUCUACAUGGUUGGAGAGUAAUUUUCCCUGUAGUCGUUUCAACUUAAACUCAGUUAAGGACUACAGAAGUACUUUUUUAAAGUAUUAUUUUGUGUUGUAAAUGUAUGAUUUGUAAAAUUAAAUAAUAAAAUGUUCCAUUCUGAUAAUUGUUUUUUUACGAAAACGAGAGAUGAGAGAGUUUCCUCGUGACCAAGAACCUUUCAAUUGUUUAUAGCCAAACUGUUAUGCCCAGGUGUUGUCAAGGUGCUCAAAUUUCAAAUUUUAUCAAAUUUUAGGUCAUUUUUUGAGCCGCCAUGUUUUUUGAGAAGUUUCCAAGAAGUUUCAUCAGGAAAUUCGGCGUAUUCAGAGAAUUUUAAGUCUGAUGAAGCAAUACAAAAAUUCGGCAAUACAACUUUUAAUAUAUUAAUUUACAUUCUCCGUUUUGAAAUGUCUCUCGCUUUUCUUAUCAAAAACUAUAACCAAACCACAACAAUGUUUGAGUUUACAAUUUAACACCGAAACAAAAAAUCAUUUCACGAAUAAACGAGAAUUGUUGAUCACGAAUCUCUUUUUUCUUCUUUAUUUCUCUACUUCUUUCUUCAUUGAUAUAUUAUCAGUAAGCAAUUACUCUUAUCGCCGUGAUGCGACUAAACUUCAUCUGCUCGUAUGAAUUUUUUGUGGCACGAUAACUCUGAUCUUUGUUCGAACAUUCGUAUAAAAGGAGACUUUGGAGAAGAGUUGGCAUCAUUCGUCGCUUCAAGUUCAUGAGAGAAUGUCGUCACCUGUCGAGCAGAUGGAGAAUGUGGAGUACGGUAAGCCCAACCCGAACCGACGGACGAUAAAGCUUUUCGCGGAGUACGAUGCUCUGUACGAGAAGCAGCAUAACGAUAUGGAUGUGAACAAACCGAUGGAGCUGUUGGAGCAAUCGGAAGUGUUUGGAAUAUAUUCUCCAACCACCAUGGAGAUUAUUUCGAUUGCGAAGGAAGAAGGAGAUGUUCUCAGCGACCAAUCAUUGAGUGAGUAAAUUUCCUUUUUUUUAAGAUGGUUAUAUUGAUUUGACUUUCAGAUUUUCUCAAUGAAGCGCUGAAAUAUACCGUCGUUCCACAAGGAUAUUCUCCACGUAAGUUGUAGAACAGACACGAAAAACGAAAAAAAUUGUUUUGCAGAAUGAAGUGAUGCUCUAAACACUGAAAAACGUCGCCAGUGUCACAAAGGAUUUCCUUGGCGCGGGAAAGAUUAUUUUUGACAAGUUUCCCAAGUUUCUUCAGAUCUUUGGACCACUCGGAUCACUUAUCAAAGACAUUAUCGACAUGGCGAAACCAGAAAAGAAAGACCCUGUGCUUGAAGAGUUGGGAAAUCUCAAGGGUCAACUUCAAUCGGUAAUCUCUGUUUCAUGGUAUACAAAUUUAUACCAAAACGAAUACUUUUUCAGCUCUCGCAAAAGAUGGUCGUCCAAUUUGACGAAUUAAAAUCGUUCAUGGUGGAGAAAGAUUUCUAUAAUGUCAGUGAAGAAACCCUUUUAUUUUUUAAUCAUAUUAUCAAAAACCUUUCAGAAUUAUGCUCACAAGGCUUCUCUUCUUUUCGAAUACAUGAUGGACUGUGCGACUGUUGACAAGAAAGCGAAGGAACGAUUUGAAGAAUGCUACAAGGAAAUGAAGCCAGAGAGAUAUGUCACAGUAAGAGAAGAAUUACAGCUUGAAGUUGUUACUAAUACAAUUAAUUUCCAGGAAAUGAUGAUCAAGCUGGAGUCGGACGUGACGAACCCUCUCAAAGUGAUUAUGGCGGGAGACGAUCUGACUUCAAAAGCAACAUUUGAAAAGUGGAAAAGCGUGCUCGCAAGCACACUUGCACAAUUCGUGAGUUUGUUCGAACAUCUUCACACACACAUACUGUUGUUUUUUUUUAAUUUUAAGUUGAUGUUGGAAUGCUUCGCUAUGGGACUUCUUCAUCCAAAAGACGAAAGUGACAGUAAGAAAAUCAUGGAAAAGAUGACUUACUACUCUACGCUGGUCCAACAAUGGGAGAAGCAUUAUUUGAACGAUAGACCAUACUGGCAAAAACUCAAAAAGUAUGUGCAGAGAAUUCAAUUCGUUUAACAAGGACGAAGACAUGGCCGACGCGCUCUUGAAAGGAUUCGAGACCAUUUUCACAAAGUACGUCAACUUUCCGGAGCUCAGAAAAUCAUGAUAAGGUUUCAGUGACAACUUCUAUAUAUGUGUUUUCGACAGAAACGUUCACUGCGAUUAUCACGCAGUGAAACCCGAAAUGGUGUUCGUCUCGACGAAUAACGGAAAGUUCAACGUGAUCAUUUCUCGUGCAUUUGAGCACAAUGAGUCGACAUGUUUGCAAUGGUGGGAAAAACUUUACGAUAUCAAGGAUCGGAAGGUUAAAGUAGGAAACAUUUUCUACUCUUUGACAAUUCAUAUGAAAGAAUUCCUUCAAUCGGCUGUGGUAUCAUAUGCAAAGAACGAGUUCAAGGGAUGCUCGUACUUCUUGGCGAUUACUUCCCAAGAUGUGGCUGUCAGAUGGACGAAAAAAAAUGAGGCUGCUAACUAUAAGGGUCCAGGAUUCUUCAAUUGGGAUGGAGAACUGAUGGUUUACAAUGUCCUUAAUGCCAAGUGGUUUAUGCUCUACAUGGUUGGAGAGUAAUUUUCCCUGUAGUCGUUUCAGUUCAAACUUAGUUUAGCGCGUCAGAAGAACUUUUUCGAACUUUUAUUUUGUGUUGUAAAUGUAUGAUUUGUAAAAUUUAAUAGUAAAAUGUUCCAUUCUAAUAGUUGCUUUUUUUACAAAAACGAAAGAUGAGAGGAUUUUCUCAUGAUCAAGAAGGUUAUAUUUUUUUACAGCCAAACUGUGAAGCCCAAUUGUUUUUUUUUGCCCAGCGCGCAGUUGCUAUCGACCUGUAAAAGUCCUGUACUAAAGGAUGUAAUAUUUCGAAAAAAGUAACAGAAUGGUUUAUUUUCAAGAAUCAAGUCAAAUUGAAAGAAAUCACGAUAACUCAAUGAGUCGAUCGAAGAUCUUGGCCUUUGUCGCAUCCGACAACUGCAAGUAAUCGUCCGAUCCUUUGAACUUCUUAGCCUGGUCGAAGCUUUUCAUCUUCUGGAUUUCCAUAGCCAAUAGCUUUUGAAGUCCGUAUUUCUCUGCCAGGGAAAUCAACCGUUUAUUUGGGAACUUGGUGGUGUCUCCAACGAUUUGGUUUUCCACGUGACGCAUCACAGCCGGAAUCUUGAAACGAUUUCCCAGCUCGAGAAGGACUUCAGCGUUCUGGUCUGAAAAUUGAGAUUAGUAACUGGAAGGGAUUAGGAGUAACUCACGAUUCGAGAAAACCGCUUCAGGGUAGAUGACACUCAUGAGAAGCCCGAAAUUCUCAUAGGUCACGUUUUCGAUCGGGAUCCCGUUCUUCUCGUCGACUUUCUCAGCGAAUAGAUCAGAAAAAUAGUCGGAGUGAUAGGAGAGGAACUAAAAUUUUCAAGCUAAACUUAGCAAGAUUCCAAAUUAAAACUUACAGCCUUGUUCACAUGAAGCUUCUUCUCCCCAAUUAAGAGCACCGCAUCGUGCUUCCUGGAUGGCUCAAACAUUGUGUCAUAAGACACCUGAGAUUUGAGGUCAUUAGAAAUCUGGGGUGGUUUGGCUGGGUCGCGGUGAAGUUUUAGAUUGAACGAAAACGACCAGCGGUAUUCAUAUAGGAAUUUAGGAACUAUUAUUGUGCAGAUUCCUCCUCGUUUGUCAAAGUUCGAAUCAAUAGGUUUCAGUUGAUGGCCAUCAUACGACAAUUGGAUGAAACCAGUGAUCUUCUCUAUGUCUCGCUCAUCCCAAUCCAGUUUUAUUUUCAGGUGAAUCUCGUCCGUCUCGAUUUUAUUAGUUAUAACACUAAAAAAAAUACUGUUUUAUCUGUCAUUCAAUAACAUUUUUAUUACCAUGUUAAUCCGUUCAAAAAACUGAUAUCGAAGAGGUGGUAACCUCUUUGGAGGUAAUUUGGUUCGCUUUCAAAUUUAAUACUUUCAGUAACAAUAUUGUCCAUUGUUUCUGUAAAUUCUGGAAAGAUACAAGGAUACAAAAAUAGAUAAAUUAAGCAGAAGAGAAAACAGAAAAGAUGGUUGUGGUGUGGCUCACAAAAAUGUAGAGUGAGAGUAGGCAAAAAGAUGCGCGCGCACACGGUGUUGCAGAUCGAUACAAACUGUGCGCAGAUGGGAAAGGUUGCUGGAAAUCUUGGGAAGGUGGAAGGCUCUUUUCCCGCAACGAAUCUAUGUGUUCAAAUCAAUCUGCUGAAUUUCUUAUCGAACUGAGAAUUCGCUCCGAGAAACCAGUCGUCCCUGAACAGUUUGGAGAAAACUGAAAAGUCAAAGGAUCUACACGGGAUGUAAAUGUGCACCUCUUACUUUUGGUUUUUUGUAAAUUUUCUAGAAAAACAUGGUAGAAAACCCUUUCUGAUGCACUUUAAAACAUCUGCGAUUAUAGUUUUAUUAAAUUUAAAAAAUAUUAAAAUUGUCAAGACUUUUUGAUCUACAUAGUACUAAAUUUCUUUGGUUUCUUUUUGGCUUUUCUAAUCAUAUGGCAAGUUUUUAGCAUAAUUUUUGUGUUGCGAAUAUGUCUAAUAAAUUAAUUCGACACGUUUAAACAAUUUGCGACGAAAAAAUAUUUCUUAGUAAAUUUUCUCAAAAAAAAUUUUCGCUUCCAAUUUUGAUGGAACUUUGAAAAAUGAGUUAAUUGUGUCAUUUUCCAUAUUAAAAAUAACAUUAAAACUUUCGAUUCUUACUGAGGAUUUUAAAAUAUUGAAGUAAAGUUGGCGUUUUUCAGUUGAAAACAGUAGGUUUACAUAUACAAACUGUUAUAUCUCAAAUAAAGUAUAUAAUUUUUUUUGAAAAUAUUACCAAAAAUGUUUCCAUAAAUUUAACUUUCUGGAAAUAAAUUUUAAUUUUUUGUAGCUAAUAAGGUUCUAAAGUUAUGUCAGUUUUCGCCAAAGGUACCCAUUUACAACCCGUGAUCUACAGUCGGAUUUGUCGAAUUUGCCGUUUGCCGAGCUCAGCAAAUUUUGAGAUUUGCCGCAGACCCCUGGACCUUUUUGGUUGUUAAUCCUACCCACAAGUACCCAAAUCAGUGUUGUUCCACAUUUACCUCACAUUCGUCACAUCGAAUUAUGUCGAAUCCCCUGAAUGCUUGCGGUGUUUGAAACAAGCUAAACGGCAGAUGGCCUAAGCCACCUGGCUAAUACCUCACCUCCCCCUAAUUGCUGCUCGAGUCUCCUAGUGUGCUCAUUUUGCUCCGUAAGCUGCCAUGGACGCUGGUGAGCCCCCUCCUUUUCCUAUACUCCGACUACCUGAAAAAUCAAGGAUAAAUGUGCUUCGCAGUAUGGAAAUUGUCCAUUUGUAAGUUUAUUUCGAAUUUAAUUUGUUUUAAACACAUUUUGAAAUAUCAUACAAAUUUUGUAUUUUAGAAAACAAGCUUCAUUUCCAACAAAUGUUAAAUUUCCAUUUAAAAAAUAGAGAAUUGAAAAGUUUUUUCUGGAAAAUAUAGUGCAAAGUAUAAAUUAUUAAGUUCAUUUUUACAUUAACAACAUUUGAAAGAGCAUGUUUAAAAAAUUUCCAGUAAAUUGAAUUAAUUAUUUGAAAUUCCUAACUUGUUUUAGACUAAAAUUUAGACUAAGGCUCCCAUGAAGUCAACGGUGCCUGCACCGGCCUGAGCAUUCGCCGCGCCGGUCUCAUGGCGUUAUGACGAGGAACCCCGAACUUGUCGGCCGCUUCCAAAUAACCACCUUUUUGCACCACGUUGAGCACGCACUAAGCUACUCAUUUCACGAAAAGCUGCGGAGCCCCGAACGCAGAAAAAAAAUAGUUAAAAUUUUCUGGAAAUUUUAAACAAAAAAAAAUUUUCAGAAACACAUUUCCGCCUGUGUUUCACGCCGAACUUUUUUAUUUUCUAAAUAAAAAGAGAUUUAACCUUUUUUCCCAAUUAAAACUUUUUUCACUUCCAGGCUCGCCCUCUCCUUAUGCUCCGAGGCCACCAAAGAAAUCGUAAAAUCGCUCCACCUGAAAGUCGACUCGAGUGGGCUCAAUUUCGCAAAAGGCUUCAAUUUCAAAAUGAAAUUUGGAAACAAACGAGUGUGGCUGAAGUUCUACAAUAGAUGCCGAUGCUUUGUGCCAAGUUUUGACAUUCCUCAGUUUGUAAAAAUAUCAAUGCACGGUCACCAUGUGAAUGUGUUCACCCGGAAACCAUGAGAUCUUGGCUCGAAUUCUUGAUGGAUGUGCUGGCGAUUCAGAGGAUCGAUUUUAGUCUCACAACUCCCUUGGACUCCAGGAAUUUAGACAUUGAAGGUCUAACAAGGGUUCUGGAGGGGAUUGACAUAAGGCUUUUAGCUGUUGAUUUCUCAUCGGCAACCCCAAGAUUCGAUGAAUUGGCUUCGAAGCUCUUCUGGGCCAACUUACCAUCUGCGAAUCAAGUUCUAAUUCGAAACUGUCUGUACAGAGACUCACAGGAUUAUCAGAAAGUUUUCAUUCAGAACCUCGACAGACUAGUUCUUAAGCCAACUCUUCUAUUCACCCUGGAAGACCUUCUCUCAUGCGGCAGCUCUUGUAUAAAAAUCCCGAACACUUCACCGUUCACCGAUAAGGAUUUCAACCUGUUCAUGAAGCAUUGGAUACGAGGAUCCAACCCGAACCUUGAGUAUCUCACAAUCAAUGCAACAACUGAUUUGAGAGAACAUUUCAUGACUUACUGGUAUUUAUUGAAAGGGAUUAAUUUUCACGAUGGACCGGGUCCGGGUGCUCUUCGUGGCACCUAUCGGAUCAAUGGCCAUAGUGGAAGUUAUCACUGGAAACAUGAGAAAAUUGUGGAGUUGAAGGGUGGCGUAGAUGUUGAAAACGCGGAUGGAACGAUAGCUACGAUCGUUUUGUGGUAUGAUGAGGUGGAAGUGCAACAUUUAACUUUUGAGAUGAGAGUUUGGCGGUAUGAUGAAUUAGUUCAAAGUUGAUAAUUGUAUUGAUUAAUUUUUUGAUUUUAUUUGGAAGAUGUUAUCAAUUUUCAAAUAAAUUAUUGUCGGUUAUUUUUUUUGUCGAAUUUUAAUAAGAUUCUCAGAAUUUUCCGCAGACUUUUUUUUCAGAAAGUUAUAAUCUCAAACCAGAAAUGUUUAUUAAAAUAAAAUUUAAUUCCCCGCCAAAAUGGUUUUUCAUACAUUUUGAAUUCCCGCCAAAAAAAUUUUCCUCAAAAAAGUUGAAUUUCUGCAAAAAUUGUUUCUCAAAAAAUUAAUUCCCCGCCACUAUUUGUUGUUUCAAAAAAGCUAAAUUUCCCCUUGAUGUUCUUUUCACGAAAAUUUCAAUUUUCCACUAUAAUUUUUUUGAAUAAAUAUUUGGUUUCCCGCCAAAAGAUUUUCUUAGAAAAAUUCCUCAGAAAACUUGAAUUUCCUGCCAAAAUCAUUUUUUUAAAAAAUUGAAGCUUACGCCAGAAUUUUGUCUCAGUGUUAGAAAAUUUGAAUUUUCAGCCCAAAAAAAAAAAAAUAUAUAUAUAUAUAUUAGUUUUUUGCCAAAAACGUUUCUUAUUAAAACUUAAAUUUCGCGACAAAAUUUAUUCUCAAAAAAAAAAAAGAAUUUCGGGUUAAAACUAUUAAAGCUUUUUCGUAAAAAAUAAUUUCAUAUCAAAAAUUUCUCUCAAAAAUUUGAAUUUCCCGCUAGAAUUCUUUUUCAGUUAAAUUUAAUUUUCUAUCAGAAUGCUUUCUCAGAAAAUUUUGAAUUUUCUGCCAAAAUUUUUUCUCACAACUUUGAAAUUUGAAAAGUCUUGCCAAAAAUUUUUUCUCUAAUAUUUUUAUUACAAGAAAAAACCACACCGCCACAAUUUUUUUUUUAAAUUUCGAUUUUCCGCCAUAAUUUUUCUUCAGUAAAAGUUGAAUUUCCGGUUAAACUUUUUUUCCUGAAAAAAAAAUUUCCCGCUAAAAAUAUUACUCCAGAAAUUUAAUUUCCCGUCAAAUUUCUGAUAACUUCAAAAAAUUCCCAUCACCUUGUUGACUGAUAGUUCCGUGAAAUGAUCACUGAAACUGAUAAGCACAUUUUACCGCCGUUUCUCCUGUCAUUUCGUUUUUGUUGGAACUCCUAUCUAUUAAAUAUUUUAUGUUUCCUUGUGACUUCUUGCUAUUGUUAAGUUAUUUUUUAAGAUGAAAUUUUGGCGAUUUUUUUAUUCUUUUUUUGAAUUUGGGUUCAUUGCUAAUCCAGUUCUCAUCAUUUUUCAGAGCUCCCGUAAAAAUGGCAGAUUUCCUUCUGCAACAUGAAUUUGAAUAUGUUGACGGCUUAGAAGAUAACGCUUCCUUGACAGGCAACUCCGAGAGCUUUGGAGACUUUAAAUGGUAUUAUUAUAUUUUUUUCAAACUUUACCAAAUAUCAAAAAUCAAAAAAAAAAUUAUUUUUUUAUCUGUAAUUAUGGCUUACCCAGUAUUAAAGUUCAAAUUUCAAGUCAUAUUAAUAUUCCAGGACACUUGGCAUCACCCGUUCCGAGGACUCUUUGUGGCUUUCCUUGGAGUGCUCCAGCAAGAAAAACGUGGAGCAAGUGAAAACAAAUCUAAAACUCAUUUUAAUAUCUCUCAACGGAAAUCGCUGGGCAAAACAAUUCGAUGGCUCCUGCUUCAAGUUUGACAAGUCAGAAGUUGACAGAAAAAUCGAGCGAAUUGUUGGAUGGGAGUCCAUCGAGAAUGAUUUCCUGGUGGAUGGGAAGAUCAAGGUGCAGGCUCAUCUGGGGGGUCUGGAAGUUGAAGAGUCCGGAGUUGGCGAGUUUGAGAUGGAGAAUGUUUUUAAGAAUAUAGAGUUCAUGAGGCCAGGGGACGAAAUGUACAGCGAGAAGGGGUCACAUUUGAACUACUGGUGGUGAGUCAAGCCCCUAUCGCUUCGAGACCCAUAUUUUCAGAAUUUUAUCUUUUAGGCCCAUUUUCUAAAAGUACUCUAGCUUUAGGACAUUUGAGACUAAAGCCUUUAAUUCUAUCACAUUAGACCAGGGAUGAGCGGCAAACGAUUUUUUCCUGCAAAUCGGCAAACUGGCAAAUUGCCGGAAUUGAGAAUUUCCGGCAAAUCGGCAAACCGGCAUUUGCCAAAAAUGAAAGUUUCCGGCAAAUCGGCAAUCCGGCAAAUUGCGAGAAUUGAAAAUUUCCAGCAAUUCGACAAAUCGGUAAAUUGUUGGAAUUGAAAAAUUCCGGCAAAUCGGCAAAUCGGUAAAUUGUUGGAAUUGAAAAAUUCCGGCAAAUCGGCAAACCGGCAAAUCGGCCAGCCGGCAAAUUGUCGGAAUUGAAAAUUUCCGACAAAUCGGCAAACUGGCAAAUUGUCGGAAUUGAAAAUUUCCGGCAAAUCGGCAAAUUGGCAAAUUGCCGGAAUUGAAAAUUUCCAGCAAAUCGACAAACCGGGAAAUUUCGAGAAUUGAAAAUUUCUGGCAAAUCGGCAAAUCGGCAAAUUUGCCGAAUAUGUUUUAAUCGGCCAAAUUGUGCGCAUCCUAUAAAUGUUCCUACAUCUAUUUUGAAAAAAAAACAAAUUCUAUGAAAAUGUGUAAAAAAAAUCGGAAAAAUUCAAAUAGACACAGUUUUAGGUGUUUCCGUCUUUUAAAAAUCCCUCUAAACAUAUCCGGCAAAUCUGAUAUCCGGCAAACGGCAAACCGGCAAUUUGCCGAAAAUGAAAAUUUCCGGCAAAUCAGCAAACCGGCAAUUUGCCGAAAAUGAAAAUUUCCGGCAAAUCAGCAAACCGGCAAUUUGCCGAUUUGCCGUUUUUUUCGACAAAUCAAUUUGCUUCCUUUAAGACUGUUACACGAUUUCCAGUAAUCUAAACUGUACUUCAGGAGGAUCCAUUUAAUGCGCAGGGAUGAUUAUAUUGGCGUCGGCAUAACCUGGAGACAAAAGUUCGGUCAAGAUUUCCGCAAACUUCGAGCAGAAAUUGAUCUGGUUAUAUCAUCGGAAAAUGGAAAUCGAUUCGCCAAAAAGUUGAAAGGUGGGUCAUUCAUAAUAAGGAUUCCAUGAUAGAAAUUUUUCAGAUGCCGUGUUCGAGUCAAAAAUCUACGGACAGUACUGCAUUCAGGGGAAAGAGAUCUUUGACUGGGAGUCUGUUGGUGAUUUUCUUGUCGAUGGAGCAUUGAAGGUUGAAGCUCGUGUUAAUGUUAUCGAUUCCGUCCUCAUUCCAAAGCAGCAGACGUUGAAGGGCGAUGUAAGUCAUAGUCAUGCGGCCGACAUUUUCCGGGUAACCCGGGAGGAGUCGGGCGCUGAAAUAGAAAAGGUGAACAAUCUCCCAUACUUUGAUUCAGAAGUUAGAAGAAAUUGAAGAUUUCGAAUCAAAACUGAAAGUGCUCGAUAACCUGAUAAAUGAGAACUCAGGAGCAGGAACACUAGAUGCUUCUGGAAUCAAUGAUGAUGUAAGUUAUGCUGCGACCGACAUUUUCCGGGUCUCCGUAAUUUUUUUCCAUUUCAGAAACCAGAAGAACUUGAGGAUUUCGAGUCAAAAUUAAGAAUCCCCGACAACUUGAUAAAUGAGAAUUCGAAAGCAGGAUCAAUAAUUGAUAUUGGAGUUAGAAGCAAAUUUGGUAGAUCUACCACAGUUCAAAAACGAAUUAAAGACUUGGAUACAAGGAAUAAAGAUCUGAGUUCUGACAUUGGAACGCUUGGUGAUGUUGUGAAGCAGCUGACACUGAUGAAUGAGAAGAUGGAGAAGGAGGCUGAUCAACGCGCGGAGGUUAACAUGGAACGUGAAUUGAAAUCGGUGAGCUUUUGGUCUGGGUAAGCUCUCAGGAGGAGCCAGCCUUAGUCAGUGACAGGUCGAAAAGCUCAGAAAAAUGUCAAUAAAUGUCGAGAAAUGUAUGUAUAAAAAUGUCGAAAAAUGUCGAAAAAUGUCGAAAAAAUGUAGGGGAAAGUGUCAAAAAAAAAGUAGGGGAAACUGUCGACGAAUAUAGAAAAAAUGUCGAAAAAUACCGAAAAAUGUAUCAGGUUGUCCCAUAAGUUUUUGUACUAUUUUUUUUUUGAAAAAAAUUUAUUUCUCUCAAGCGACAAGUAGUACUAUUCACACAAGUAUUCACCAUUAGUGUCCACCACUUGUUGCCAUUUACUAGGUAACAUCAUGAUGCCACGGGAGAAGAAAUCCGGCGAACGCGAUGAGAAGAAAGUGGAGAGUUCAGUUUUGAGAUGCUCUUCGUCGUCGAAUUGCUUGUCGCGCAUGUAGUCACUGAGAGACAAGAACAAAUGGUAGUCGGUUGGUGCAAGAUCUGGAGAAUAUGGUGGAUGCGGUAAAACAGUCCAACCAAGAUCUUGCAGCUUUUGGAAAGUCUUCUUGGCGACAUGAGGCCUAGCAUUAUCGUGAAGAAAAUAUAGUUUUUCAUAUUUUCCGUUGGUCUUUUCUGCAACUCGGUCCAAUUGGGCACAAUAGUAAUCAGCAGUGAUAGUUUUAUUAGUUGGCAACAAUUCCCAGUGCACGGGUCCUUGAACACCCCACCAGACACAGAUCAUAAUCUUUUUUGGGUGAAGAUCAGGCUUUGGCGUCGGUAUUCCUUUCUCACCGAUCGGAAGCCAUUGACGUUUUCUGGAAUGGUUAACAUAGAGCACCCACUUCUCAUCUCCAGUAACCAGAUUGUUCAGCCAAUCGAACUUUCGACGAAAAGUUAGAAGUUGAGUACAAACGUUGACCCGAGUGAGCUUCUGUGAUGCCGAAAGUUCAUGAGGCACCCAAAUUCCAAGUUUUGAAGUAAAACCAAGGCGACCCAAGUGACGUGCAAUUGUGCUAUGACAACACUCACGCUUCUCUUCCAUUUCACGAAGACUAAGACGAGGCUCUUCCUCCACCAGCUUCACUAGGUCUUCUUCAUUUAACUCUACCGGUCGCCCAGAACGUUCUAUUUCUUCGAGACUGAAGUCGCCGUUCUUGAACUUUUGAAACCAACUCUUUGCUGUAUUAUAAGAGAGUGCUCCCUCACCCAUCGCACCGCAUAUGUUUCGUUCCGCUUCCAUUGCUGAAUGACCAAGACGAAAUUCAUAAAGAAGAAGCAAUCUAACGUCUCGACGUUCAAGUUUGAUGAUUGUCAUCGUGGCAAAGUAGAAAUGGAUGAAAUGAAUCUUUUCUGAAAGGGGACGACCCGACCUUGACACGACCUACGAUGAAAAAAUUUUAAAACUUUCUAGAAGUUUUGGAAAAAUAUUUGAAAAAAAGUACAAAAACUUAUGGGACAACCUGAUAGAAAAAUGUCGAAAAAUGUAGAAAAAGGUAGAAAAUUGUAGAAAAAUGUAGAAAAAUGUCGAUAAAUGCGAAAAAAUUCAGAAAAAUGUCGGAAAUUGUAGAAAAAUGUAGAAAAAUGUCAAAAAAUGUAGGGGAAAUGUCGAUAAAUGCCAAAAAAUGUGCCAAAAAUGUCAAAAAUGUAAAAUUACAUUUUUGAAUUUUUCGAUAUCACAGGAAUAACCCCAUUAAUUUUUCAGGCUCUAAAAUCGAAACAACAGCUGAAAAAUGACACUUUGAAAAGCCCUGCGAUCACUGGUAAGCUCCUGAUCACCCUAUUACUUGCACAGUACAUUCUACAGACGAAAAUGUGAACACCAAGUUGAGAUCUGCCACCGAACAAGAAGACCUGAUAACUAUUUACCAGUGCGAGGAGUUUUUGACGUCGAAAUCCAAAAAAUCUACAAGUGAGAUGCUCCGAAUCGCAAUGGAGUUCAAUUUGGAUAAUUUGAAGGUAGCGAGAACUUCAUUUUGAAGGAAAAAAAAAUCAAAAAAAUUCAGAAUCACUGCUUAUCAAAUAUGACGACAUCUGAACAAAUCGCAGAGAUUGUCAGCGACUUGAAGCUCGGCGGAUUGGACAGGCCGUUGCUGGAGGCCUUGAUAACUAGAGCCUUGGAGUUGAAGUCAUAAUUUAUUGAUUUAUUUGAGAAAAUUCUCUUGUGAUUUAUCAUUACUUAUAUAUAAAAAAAUACAUGGGGGAUGUUACAAUUGUAGUUUGUAGUCGGUGACGUCACACUUGAAAGGUGUUUCGGGCUGUGGAAGGGAUCAUGGGUUGGGGUUGGUGGGGGGACAUGGUCGGGGUACUGUAGUAGUACUGUAGGGGUACUGUAGGGUUACUGUAGGAUUACUGUAGUUUGGGAAAAAUGGACUUUUUGUCUUUUGAAGUGAUAUUGCUUUGGGGUUAGUGGCGGGAUAUGGUCAGGGUACUGUAGUAGUACUGUAGGGGUACUGUAGGGUUACUGUAGGAUUACUGUAGUUUGGGAAAAAUGGACUUUUUGUCUUUUGAAGUGAUAUUGCUUUGGGGUUAGUGGCGGGAUAUGGUCAGGGUACUGUAGUAGUACUGUAGAGGUACUGUAGGAGUACUGUAGGAGUACUGUUGGAUUACUGUAGUUUGGGAAAAAUGGACUUUUUGUCUUUUGAAGUGAUAUUGCUUUGGGGUUAGUGGCGGGAUAUGGUCAGGGUACUGUGGUAGUACUGUAGAGGUACUGUAGGAGUACUGUAGGAUUACUGUAGUUUGGGAAAAAUUGGCUUUUCGUCUUUUGAAGUGAUAUUGCUUUGGGGUUAGUGGUGGGAUAUGGUUGGGGUACUGUAGUUGUACUGUAGGAUUACUGUAGUUUGGGAAAAUUGACUUUUCAUCUAUUGAAGGGAUAUUGGAAACUUUGUGAAAAUUCCGAAAUGUUCCAGAACCUUCUGGAAAAUUUGAGAAAAUUCUGGAAUGUUCCAGAACCUUCUUGAAAAUUCGAGAAAAUUCGUGGUAGGGCCCUUCGUGGUCAGGCCCAUCGUGGUGAGACCCAUCGUGGUGAGAUCCAUCGUGGUGAGACCCUUCGUGGUGAGACCCAUCGUGGUGAGUCCCAUCGUGGUGAGACCCAUCGUAGUGAGACCCAUCGUUGUGAGACCCAUCGUUGUGAGACCCAUCGUGGUGAGACCCAUCGUGGUGAGACCCAUCGUGGUGAGACCCUUCGUGGUGAGACCCUUCGUGGUGAGACCCUUCGUGGUGAGACCCUUCGUGGUGAGACCCAUCGUGGUGAGACCCAUCGUGGCGAGACCCAUCAUGUUGAGACCCUUCGUGAUGAAACCCUUCGUGGUGAGACCCAUCGUGGUGAGACCCUUCGUGGUGAGACCCAUCGUGGCGAGACCCAUCGUGGUGAGACCCUUCGUGGUGAAACCCUUCGUGGUGAGACCCAUCGUGGUGAGACCCUUCGUGGUGAGACCCUUCGUGGUGAGACCCUUCGUGGUGAGACCCAUCGUGGUGAGACCCAUCGUGGCGAGACCCAUCGUGGUGAGACCCUUCGUGAUGAAACCCUUCGUGGUGAGACCCAUCGUGGUGAGACCCUUCGUGGUGAGACCCAUCGUGGCGAGACCCAUCGUGGUGAGACCCUUCGUGGUGAAACCCUUCGUGGUGAGACCCAUCGUGGUGAGACCCUUCGUGGUGAGACCUUUCGUGGUGAGACCCUUCGUGGUGAGACCCUUCGUGGUGAGACCCAUCGUGGUGAGACCCAUCGUGGUGAGACCCAUCGUGACGAGACCCAUCGUGGUGAGACCCUUCGUGGUGAGACCUUUCGUGGUGAGACCCAUCGUGGUGAGACCCUUCGUGGUGAGACCUUUCGUGGUGAGACCCAUCGUGGUGAGACCCUUCGUGGUGAGACCCUUCGUGGUGAGACCCUUCGUGGUGAGACCCAUCGUGGUGAGACCCAUCGUGGCGAGACCCAUCGUGGUGAGACCCUUCGUGGUGAAACCCUUCGUGGUGAGACCCAUCGUGGUGAGACCCUUCGUGGUGAGACCUUUCGUGGUGAGACCCUUCGUGGUGAGACCCUUCGUGGUGAGACCCUUCGUGGUGAGACCCAUCGUGGUGAGACCCAUCGUGGCGAGACCCAUCGUGUUGAGACCCUUCGUGAUGAAACCCUUCGUGGUGAGACCCAUCGUGGUGAGACCCUUCGUGGUGAGACCUUUCGUGGUGAGACCCUUCGUGGUGAGACCCUUCGUGGUGAGACCCUUCGUGGUGAGACCCAUCGUGGUGAGACCCAUCGUGGUGAGACCCUUCGUGGUGAGACCCAUCGUGGUGAGACCCAUCGUGGCGAGACCCAUCGUGGUGAGACCCUUCGUGAUGAAACCCUUCGUGGUGAGACCCAUCGUGGUGAGACCCUUCGUGGUGAGACCCUUCGUGGUGAGACCCUUCGUGGUGAGACCCAUCGUGGUGAGACCCAUCGUGGCGAGACCCAUCGUGGUGAGACCCUUCGUGAUGAAACCCUUCGUGGUGAGACCCAUCGUGGUGAGACCCUUCGUGGUGAGACCCAUCGUGGCGAGACCCAUCGUGGUGAGACCCAUCGUGGUGAGACCCUUCGUGGUGAAACCCUUCGUGGUGAGACCCAUCGUGGUGAGACCCUUCGUGGUGAGACCUUUCGUGGUGAGACCCUUCGUGGUGAGACCCUUCGUGGUGAGACCCUUCGUGGUGAGACCCAUCGUGGUGAGACCCAUCGUGGUGAGACCCUUCGUGGUGAGACCCAUCGUGGCGAGACCCAUCGUGGUGAGACCCUUCGUGGUGAAACCCUUCGUGGUGAGACCCUUCGUGGUGAGACCCUUCGUGGUGAGACCCAUCGUGGUGAGACCCUUCGUGGUGACACCCAUCGUGGUGAGACCCUUCGUGGUGAAACCCUUCGUGGUGAGACCCAUCGUGGUGAGACCCUUCGUGGUGAGACCCUUCGUGGUGAGACCCAUCGUGGUGAGACCCUUCGUGGUGAGACCCAUCGUAGUGAGACCCAUCGUGGUGAGACCCAUCGUAGUGAUGGCGGGAAAUUCAAAUUUUCAGAGAAAAAUGUUUGACGGGAAAUUCAAAUUUUCUGAGAAAUAAUUUUUGUCGGGAAAUUCAAAUUUUGGUUCUAGAAUCAUCUGGAAAAUUUGAGAAAAUUCUGGAAUGUUCCAGAACCUUCUGGAAACUUCGAGAAAAUUCUGGAAUCAUCUAGAAUCGUCUAGAAUAAUAUUUAUGAGAAAAGCUUAGAAGGAAGCCAGACGGAGCACGCGCUUUAGCGCGUGCGAACGGCUGGUUACAUAUAAACAAUAAAACGCAUGAACAGAAAUCCAUUAGAAAUGUAGAAAUCCAAAGAUCCAGUAGUUCUACGACGCUCCUCAGUCGGUGAGGCCACUCCAUACAUCUCAAUUUUCCACCCAAGUCAAUGGGGUAUUCCUGCAAGAAUAGUGCUUUCGACGAAGUUUACGGCUGAUAUUUGGAAGGAUAUAUAUUCAAGUUCAGGUUUCAAUCCGGCCGCCCAGUGUUUCAAGAACAAAUUGAUAUCCUUCCCUCUUAACCUUUCACUGUAAAAGUCAGAAGUUGCAGAGUUGUUGAGAAGAAGCUCGUUCAGCGUUAUAUCAAUUACUAGGUUAAGUUUUUGGAUCUUCCGGUGCAAAAUUUGGCGCAGAGUCGACAGCUGAAACGGUUGAUUUGAGUUUUUCACCAGGCUGAGCCUGUUGGUCUGCGGAAAUGCAUUGACAAGCCGGACAAUAUGAUUCAUUUGAGGAAUGCACUUUGCAGAAAACUUUAAGAUCUUGACGCCUUUUAAGCAAUCCACGGUCAUUUGAAAUUGAGAUUCAUCGGAAACCUCAUUGGAUUGUCUAUUAAACAGAAAAGCGAAUUUCGAUGGGUCGAGAAUAUCCGGUAAAUGUCCAAGGAUCUUUUCAUAUCCAAGAAUGUGAAACCCAAAUGUGAUUCGUCUGGACUUGCAUAUGUUCCAAGCCCUGCCGUCCCCAAAUGAACCAUGAUUGGCCCCUCCCCCUUUUAAACUAUUCAACCCCCAUGCGUUGGAUGAAGCCUUCCCAAUGUCCAACCUUUACUUUCCCAACUCUCGAAUUACCUCUACUUUGGUGGCACUACCAAAACCUAUUCUAAACUUUGAACUUGACCUUGAUAUUCUAUAGGGGGGAACCCCGGCCAUAAUCCCAUUCGCGGAAACCCUCUAGUUUCCGAGGAAACGAUUAAGGAGUCUUCCCUCCCCCGUAACGCCUUACCCAAGUUGCCCACCCCUUGCAUGUCUCCUCGGCCGUUCCCUUUCCCUUCGCAAGUCCUAAGUCUAUUAAUUGGCUCCCCCUCGACGCGAUUGACCCCCGCCUGGUCCAUUACGCCCUGCGACGUGAGACCUUUCGUGGUGAGACCCAUCGUGGUGAGUCCCAUCGUGGUGAGACCCAUCGUAGUGAGACCCAUCGUUGUGAGACCCAUCGUUGUGAGACCCAUCGUGGUGAGACCCAUCGUGGUGAGACCCUUCGUGGUGAGACCCUUCGUGGUGAGACCCUUCGUGGUGAGACCCAUCGUGGUGAGACCCAUCGUGGCGAGACCCAUCGUGGUGAGACCCUUCGUGAUGAAACCCUUCGUGGUGAGACCCAUCGUGGUGAGACCCUUCGUGGUGAGACCCAUCGUGGCGAGACCCAUCGUGGUGAGACCCUUCGUGGUGAAACCCUUCGUGGUGAGACCCAUCGUGGUGAGACCCUUCGUGGUGAGACCUUUCGUGGUGAGACCCUUCGUGGUGAGACCCUUCGUGGUGAGACCCAUCGUGGUGAGACCCAUCGUGGUGAGACCCUUCGUGGUGAAACCCUUCGUGGUGAGACCCAUCGUGGUGAGACCCUUCGUGGUGAGACCUUUCGUGGUGAGACCCUUCGUGGUGAGACCCUUCGUGGUGAGACCCAUCGUGGUGAGACCCAUCGUGGCGAGACCCAUCGUGGCGAGACCCAUCGUGGUGAGACCCUUCGUGGUGAAACCCUUCGUGGUGAGACCCAUCGUGGUGAGACCCUUCGUGGUGAGACCUUUCGUGGUGAGACCCUUCGUGGUGAGACCCUUCGUGGUGAGACCCUUCGUGGUGAGACCCAUCGUGGUGAGACCCAUCGUGGUGAGACCCUUCGUGGUGAGACCCAUCGUGGUGAGACCCAUCGUGGCGAGACCCAUCGUGGUGAGACCCUUCGUGAUGAAACCCUUCGUGGUGAGACCCAUCGUGGUGAGACCCUUCGUGGUGAGACCCUUCGUGGUGAGACCCUUCGUGGUGAGACCCAUCGUGGUGAGACCCAUCGUGGCGAGACCCAUCGUGGUGAGACCCUUCGUGAUGAAACCCUUCGUGGUGAGACCCAUCGUGGUGAGACCCUUCGUGGUGAGACCCAUCGUGGCGAGACCCAUCGUGGUGAGACCCAUCGUGGUGAGACCCUUCGUGGUGAAACCCUUCGUGGUGAGACCCAUCGUGGUGAGACCCUUCGUGGUGAGACCUUUCGUGGUGAGACCCUUCGUGGUGAGACCCUUCGUGGUGAGACCCUUCGUGGUGAGACCCAUCGUGGUGAGACCCAUCGUGGUGAGACCCUUCGUGGUGAGACCCAUCGUGGCGAGACCCAUCGUGGUGAGACCCUUCGUGGUGAAACCCUUCGUGGUGAGACCCUUCGUGGUGAGACCCUUCGUGGUGAGACCCAUCGUGGUGAGACCCUUCGUGGUGACACCCAUCGUGGUGAGACCCUUCGUGGUGAAACCCUUCGUGGUGAGACCCAUCGUGGUGAGACCCUUCGUGGUGAGACCCUUCGUGGUGAGACCCAUCGUGGUGAGACCCUUCGUGGUGAGACCCAUCGUAGUGAGACCCAUCGUGGUGAGACCCAUCGUAGUGAUGGCGGGAAAUUCAAAUUUUCAGAGAAAAAUGUUUGACGGGAAAUUCAAAUUUUCUGAGAAAUAAUUUUUGUCGGGAAAUUCAAAUUUUGGUUCUAGAAUCAUCUGGAAAAUUUGAGAAAAUUCUGGAAUGUUCCAGAACCUUCUGGAAACUUCGAGAAAAUUCUGGAAUCAUCUAGAAUCGUCUAGAAUAAUAUUUAUGAGAAAAGCUUAGAAGGAAGCCAGACGGAGCACGCGCUUUAGCGCGUGCGAACGGCUGGUUACAUAUAAACAAUAAAACGCAUGAACAGAAAUCCAUUAGAAAUGUAGAAAUCCAAAGAUCCAGUAGUUCUACGACGCUCCUCAGUCGGUGAGGCCACUCCAUACAUCUCAAUUUUCCACCCAAGUCAAUGGGGUAUUCCUGCAAGAAUAGUGCUUUCGACGAAGUUUACGGCUGAUAUUUGGAAGGAUAUAUAUUCAAGUUCAGGUUUCAAUCCGGCCGCCCAGUGUUUCAAGAACAAAUUGAUAUCCUUCCCUCUUAACCUUUCACUGUAAAAGUCAGAAGUUGCAGAGUUGUUGAGAAGAAGCUCGUUCAGCGUUAUAUCAAUUACUAGGUUAAGUUUUUGGAUCUUCCGGUGCAAAAUUUGGCGCAGAGUCGACAGCUGAAACGGUUGAUUUGAGUUUUUCACCAGGCUGAGCCUGUUGGUCUGCGGAAAUGCAUUGACAAGCCGGACAAUAUGAUUCAUUUGAGGAAUGCACUUUGCAGAAAACUUUAAGAUCUUGACGCCUUUUAAGCAAUCCACGGUCAUUUGAAAUUGAGAUUCAUCGGAAACCUCAUUGGAUUGUAUAUAAAACAGAAAAGCGAUUUUCGAUGGGUUGAGAAUAUACAGUAAAUGUUUCAGGCAGCUUUUCAUAUCGAAGAACUGUGAAGCAUCAAAUGUGAAUCCGUCUGGAUAUUCAUUAUGUUCACAAGCUCUGCCGUCUCGAAAUGAACAGUGAGUGGCUCCUUCUCCAUUUUUAAACAAUUCAAGCUCCACUGCGUAUGGAUGAAGCCAUACCGAAAGUUCAAAACCUUUAAAGUCGCAAAACUUUCUGAUAUACUCCUUAGUUUUGUUGGAAAGUAGCGAGAGCCCAAUUCUGAAAACUUAUGAAGUUAGAAACUUAGAAUAGUCUUAAAAGGGGGGAAACUCACUGUUCAAUAAUUUCCACUUGGCGGAGAACACUUGCAAGGUUCUUCGGAGGGAGACGGAGUAGAGGGAAGGAAUGUGCAGCCAUCACAAGAGAAGGACUAUGAGCAGAAUGAUGGCAUCGAUCUCACAGUGCGAUUGUCUUCUACUCUGCUCACGUAUUCACCUUUUUCUAAUUGUUGGAAGAGGUCAGUAGGAGGUGCUAUAAUGAUAUUGGUCCUACACCGCCUUUCGGAUUGCAAUUUUAGAUUCUCGUACAUUAAUUGUGUCUAGAUAUUUAAAAGUCCGUAAACAAGAGCGAGCGGUUUUUCAGAUCGCACGAAAAAUAGGUUUUUGCAAAUAAAACUGGUUUUUUUUUCAGAAUUCAGAAUUUCGGAUUUUUAUUGGAUUACAACCAAUAUGUAUAAUGUAAUUGAAAAUAUGUUUAAUUUCUAUCGUAAUUUAUAUCGUAAAAAUGGCUGCCCAUCAACAUAUGACCAUAUUUGCCAAACUUCGAGGAACUCCUUACAAACUCCAUGAAUCGGAUUCUAUGAAUCGGACUCCGAAACAACUGGCUAACUACAGCUAGGUAACUACGGACUCCGUGGAUCGAACUCCGUGGUUCAGAUUCCGUGGAUCCCAAUCUUUGAGUAAAAACUACGUCCGUAAUAAACGGACCUCGUAAUUACAGACUCUCUUCCUACGGACUAAGGACUAAUAACUAUAGGCUCCGUAAAUUUGAUCUCCGCAAUUCAAGAAUCCGUAACUAUGUACCCCGUAACACGGACACCUAACAUUCCCAGCUGGUAGUUUUUCAAAAUUGCAAAGAUUUUUAGUGUACUAAACGCAUAAAAUGAUAAUACAUAUGUAUAACAAGACUUUAUUCGAAUGAAAUGAAUUUUGAUUUAUCAAUCCACAGAGACCAAGAUUGGUGUGAAUUUAUGAACAUCUUUGAAAACUAUAGUUGCUUUGUUUCCUUCGGCCAGUUGUAUAUCUACUGCGUAGUUUGAAGCGUUUCCGGGUGGCAAUCGCAAUUUUCUGUCGGCUGGUGUAUCUUCAAAGGGUAUUCCUUUCAGAAUCAUGCUUCGAUCGUAAUUAGGCCUAUGUGAAUUAAAACCAAACGUCUGUAGUUCUGGCAACAAUCCAGCCGCCAAAUGUUUCAAGAACACAUUGAUAUCCUUUUCCGUUAACAGUGAAUCGCGUAAAUCGAUGCAUGAACAGCUGGUGCAUAGUAGGUCAUUUAAAGAGUAGUCGGCUGGUAGAAAAACAUGUUGGUAUUCAGGUGUCCAAAUUUGACGUAGUGCAACAAGUUGGGACGAACUCAAAGAACGGUGACGAGCAUAUCCUAGGAAGAGCGAUUCGGUUGGUGGAAGUGUUUUAAUGAGUUCAAUGGUGUGCUCCAUUGGGGAAAGGGGAUCAGCUGAAAAUUCUAGACCUUCAAUUUUUGAAACAUUCAGGACAUAGAGAAAGUGAUUAAACCAGCUUUUUGCAUCAAACUGUGGUACUGGAAACAUUGCUUCCGGUUGGGGUGUUUUGUUGCCGCGGUAGAUGCUAGUUGUUCCGUUUUUCAAGACACAAUAGUAAGAAUUUCUAUUAGAGUCGGAAAACAUAAACUCCACGAAUCCAGAAAAUCCAAUAUAUAAUUUUAUUUUUUUGAAGGUGCCAAAAUCUCUGAUGAGUUGCUUAGUUUUGUUGGAAAGCAGGGAGAUACACACUCUGAAAAUUUAUUGUUGGAUAAAAUAAAUUGAAAAAUCAACUUACUGUUCGAUAGCUCCCAUAUUCAGUAUUACAGUUUUCAGGUUGUUACGUGGAAGACGGAGGAGGGGAAACAAAGACACAACAGUCAUCGCAACAGAAUAAGAGCAGAAUGAGAGGAGACAGUGGUCCAGAGCUGGGGAGCACCUUUAAUAUCGAUUGUGACGCGGUGGGAAACUGUGCUCUAGAUAGCGCACCUGUCAUUCUCUAGCCCAUAUUCUAGUCUCUUAUGUAGGUCACAGGUAUUUACAUUACUCCAACUGCUCUGAAUUUUUGAUGAAUCAGAUUGAAAUGAUUCGUGCAGGGGUUCUGCUAAAUCCGGAUCCAAUAUAUGUAUUUAGCGAAAGGAAGGUUGAAGAUGUCUAAAACUCCAGAAUAUGUAUAGUGGGUGUGUGUGUGUCCCAGAGCAAUUCCUUACAGAGCAGGGGUGCGCGGCAACCGGCAAAAUUCAGGCUAUCGAAAAAUUCGGCAAUCGGUCAUUUCGGCAAUUGCCAAAAUUUCCGAUUCCCCGACAUUUUCAGCAAUUUUCAAGCCUAAUUAUAAUUUCGGAAAUUGAAAAAAAGUCGUCUUGUUUUUUAUUACUCGGUCAGUCAUUUUCUGAAAGAAAACGGUCAAUACUUAAAGGAUUAAAACAUUUUGAGCUUGAAAAUAGAAAAUUGUUUAGACUCCUAAAUCUACAAAAAGUAUCAACUUUAUAUUUCCGGCAAUUUUAUUAUACAUUUAAUGAUGUUGAAAAAGUUUAUUAGAACAAAAAAAAAUCAAUAAUUAAAAGAAAUGUAUUUUGAACCAUGAACAGCAACAUAAAUCAUUGAAUAGUUAAAGGCAAAUAUGAAGUCAAAAAUAAUGGUUACUUUGCUUUCAUGGCUCAUUUGAAUAUCAGCUCCUCCUCGAGUGUAUUUGUUCAAAAUUCGGACUUUCCGCUCAAUAGGUGCAGUUUCAUAUUGUAUCCCUUCAAGAAUAAUGUCUUGGUUGAAAUGAGUUCCUUGUUUUGGAAUAGAAAAGUAUUCCAGUUCUGGCUUAAAUCCAGCUAUCCAAUGUUUCAAGAACAUAUUGAUCUCUUUUUCAGUUAAGAUAGUAGUGGAAAUUCGUGAGCAGUUGGUAAAAAGUAGCUCAUUUAAAGGAACAUGCAUCUCAAAGAAACGAUGAAGUGUUUCCUGGCACAAUACUUGGCGAAACGCCAGGAGUUCAGAUGAGGUGAAUGUAUCUUGUGAACCUCCCAAAAAAGCCAACUGCCUAGUUGGCAUAAAUGCGUUAACAAUUUUGACAAUAUGUUGCAUCUGAUUCAUGUUUUCGAACAUAAGAACCGAAAUGCUGAGCCCUUUCAAACAAUCUUCAUGCAUUUGGAACUGCCUCUCAUUAAACUCCUGAGCGGUGCGGAAAAAGCUUAGAGAUUCGAUUUCCGAUGGGUUUAUGGUGUACAGAAUGUGUUUCAACCAGCUUUUCGCAUCAAAUUGUGACGCAGAGAAAACGAUGCUCACUCGAUGGGCAUUUGGAUAUCGAGGUGACGCAGAUACGUUUCCGUUAUUUAAUAAGAACCAAAAAGUACUGUUAUCGAUAGGGUCAUAAAUCUCAUAUUUCACCGGAUCAGAAAAGUGCACACAGAGCUUCACAUUCUCGAAAACUCCAAUGUCUCUGAUGAAUUGCUUUGUUUUAUUGGAAAGCACUGAGAAACAAAAUCUGAAGCAAAUAUUAAAUUAAAGAAAUGAAGAAAAAUAUAGUAACUUACUGUUCGAUAAUUCCCAUAAUGAGUAGAACAUUUUUCAGGCUUUUUUGGGGCAGACGCAAAAGGUGGAAACGAGAUACAACAACAUCCAUCACCAGAGAAAGGAGACAGGCAGAAUGAGAGGAGACAGUGGUCCUUCAGAGACGGUGAGCGCCUUGAAUAUCGAUUUUUACAUGUCAUAGUACACCUGCCGUUCUCUAGCUCAUUCUCUAGUAAGAACAUUUUGCUGGCGGGUUACGCGCGCGUAUUCUUGAUCUUAUGGGGUUAUUCAAGUAAUGUAGAAAAAUGUAUUUAAAUACAUUUGUGACGUCACAAAUGUAUAAAAAUACAUGUUUUUAUGUAUUUUAAUACAGUUGUGACGUAAUUUUUCUACACUUUUUAAUUUUCCGACACUACUUGAAUAACCCCAUUAUGGAAACUUUAAACUUUAAAACUAAAAUAUUACUGACAAAAUUGAAAAUACCCGGCAAAUUAAAAUCCUUAAAUAAUGGAAACCUGGAUGUGCGGCUCUUUUUUCGGCGGAGCAAUAAGCUUAUCAUUUUAUAAAAUUUUUGAAAAGGAUGGUUAUAGCGUAGAGAUAUAUGGCUUGAAUCAAUGAAUCGAGAGCCGCAUUGCGAAUGGUAUGGAAUGGUGUGUACACUUUUUUUCAAAUUUUAAUGCUUUCAAUGAUAAAGUAAUUGUUCUAGCUAUUCAACUAGUAUAACCAUUCGCAAACUUUUUCUUGCUAAAACAAUGAAAAAAAUGGAAUUUUCAGAUGCUCCGAGAAAAGAGCGCCCCAGAUGGAAACAUGGCAUCUCUCAAAAAUGUAUUAUUAACUCAAAAAGAAAGUAAAUGCAUACACAUAAAACAAUGAAAAACAUAUAUUAUAAUAAUAAUUUUAAAAAGAUAAUUCUCAUAUUCAAAAUGAAGUUUUCACCCCCUAUACCGUAGUUGAGAUGUAAGCUUGAAAAAUCACGCAUUGGGAAUUCAAAACUUAGCACGUAGGCUGACCAUCUGUAAAAAUCUGAAAAUUAUUUUGGAAAUUUUAAUUUGACAAUUUGGAAUUUUUCACCCAAAAAUUCAGAUUUUCUGAAAUUGAGUUUACAAAUUAUUGACUCAAAAUUUUUUAUUCGACUUUUCUUUGCUUUCCUUAUAAAUAAUCUCGAACAUUUUGGCAAAUUUUUAAUGAUAAAGUAAUUGUUCUAGCUAUUCAACUAGUAUCAUCAUUCGCAAACUCUUUCUUGCUAGAACACUGAAAGAAUAUAAUUUUCAGAUGCACCGAGAAAAGAGCAACCCAGAUGAGAACAUGGCAUCUCUCAAAAAUUUAUUAUUAACUCAAAAAGAAAGUAAAUACACACAAAAAAAACAAUGAAAAACAUAUACUACGCUAUUUUUGUAAAGUGAAUCGUCGCGCCAUCCUGCUCCCUGAAUAGAGACUCACUGAAAACUUUUCAAGUUCCGGUUUCCGUUGCUCCAAAUCUGCUUGGUGCGUAUUAGACUUUUAAAUGAAGUGAUUAAUAUGGAAACUAUAAAAUGUGACCUAGGAUACGAAUACUACCAUAAGUUAAUACUACUUUUGCUAGAAUUCAAAAAAAAUUUGGAAAAAAAACCUUUCUUCUGUAAUUCUUAGAAUUUCAAAAUGGGGAUUGUGUUUGAAAUAUCCGAUAUUGCGGAUAUUGAUGAACAAAUAUUUUUGCUUGUAGAAAAAUGGUUUUUUUUUUCAUUUACGACAGGGGUGUGCGGCAAACGAUUUUUACCGGCAAAUCGGUAAACCGGCAAAUCGGCAAACCGGCGAAUUGCCGAUUUGCCGAAUUUGCCGGAAAAACGAGUAUUUUUUCAAAAAUUUUCGGCAAAUUGUGGUUUCGCACUUAUUUUUUGGAACCUUCAGAAUUUCAAUUUCAACUCGCAAAAUUAAACGCAUCCGAUGAAUAUUCCUAUAUCCAUUUUGAAAAGUAAUAAAAUUCUAUGAAAAUAUGUAGAAAAAACGAAAAAAAAAUUCAAAAAGACACAGUUUUAAACGUUUCCGUCUUAUAAAAAAUCCCUCUAAACAUUUCCGGCAAAUCUGACAUCCGGCAAAUCGACAAAUCGGCAAUUCCCCGGAAUUGAAAAUUUUCGGCAAAUCGGCAAACCGGCAGUUUGCCGAUUUGCCAAAUUUGUCGACAAAUCAAUUUGCCGAACGGCACUUGUUGCCCAUCUCUGAUUUACAACUCGGCCCAUAGCGUAAUUAAAAAUGUUUUCACUGCAAUCGAAUACUCCUUUUUUAACAUAUAGUUUUUCGUUUUUCAAUCAUUAAAAUAAAGUGUAUUCAUUUGUGAUCGGUUGAAUAUGACUAAUAAUGGGAUGUAUUUUAAAAAAAUACGAUGUACCCACUACACUACGUUUUUUUGUAUCUGUUUUUAUAAAGUAGUGUAUUCAUUUGUGAUCGGUUGAAUAUGAUUAAUAAUGGGAUCUAUUUUAAAAAAAUACGAUGUGUCACUACACUACGUUUUUUUGUAUCUGUUUUUAUAAAGUCUGUUUAUAAAGAAGCAUCUACUACUAACCCGUUUAAAAACCACUCACAACUUUUUCAUUUCACUCCAAUUUUCCACGAAAAUGCUUUGGCUGCAUAUCAUACAAUAUUCUGGGUUUUUUAUGGCUCAAGUGACCAAUGCUCUUUUGGUUUAUCUCAUUUGGACAAAAGCUGAGAAGCUUUUUGGAACGUACCGUCACGUGAUGUGUACAUUUGCACUGUAUUCCUUGGUUUACGCAUGGAUAGAGGUUCUAACUCAACCUGUAGGUUAAUUAGAAGUACAGAUGAACUAAUGAUAUUCCCGUUUCCUUUUAGGUCAUGCAUAUAAAAGGACCAAUAUUUAUUGUAAUUAUGGAUAGUCCGUUGAAAUAUCAAAAAUGGAUUGGUAAUGAUUUAACAUGUAAGUUCUACUUUAAAACUUUAAAGAAUACAAAUCUAAUUUUAGGCUUGUACUGUGGAUCUUUUGCUCUGGUGAUUUCUCUCCUGGCAGCUCAAUUUUUCUAUCGUUAUGUAGCCAUGUGCAGGUAGAUUUUGCUCAGAAAUGAAGUUUUUUAAAUGUGAAUUAAGGUCUCAUGAGGUCGCCGUAUCGGCGCCCGCGCCGGUCUCACGGCGUCACUCACGCCGCUUGUAUCCAACUGUAUAGUGUUGCGCGGAACCCCGAACGUGUCGGCCGCUUCCAAAUAACUAUUUUUCGCACUAUGUUGCGCACACACACCAAGCUAAUCGUUUCACGUUAAGCUGCGGAACCCUAAAUGUGUCGGCCGCUACAGAUAACUAGCUUUCGCACUUCAUUGCACACACACCUCGGCGUGAGGCUCGUAGUUCGCGCCUCACUCAGCUGGGAGCGUUAAUAUGAAUACAUAUUUCAGAUCGAAUUUUCUGCAAAACAUUGAAGGCAUCAAGUUGACAUUUAUUUUCAUACCAUGCCUAGUAUGCUUUGUUUUGUGGUUUGAAUUUGUUUAUUGGGGAAUGUCAAAUACUGUUGAGAAACAGUUGUACAUGAGGUGAGUUAUUUACUGUAAUGUAAUGUAAUGUAAUGUAGUGUAUUGUAAUGUACAGAAAUGUAAUGUAAUGCAAUGCAAUUUUAAUAACGUAAUGUAAUUUAAUGCUUUAGAGAAGAAAUAGAAGCUUAUUACAAUGAAGAUUCUACGAAAGUCUCGUUUAUUGCACCGAUGUACUGGUCGGUUGGAACAAAUGGUGAGAAGAUUUGGAAGUUUUGGGAAAUUAUGUCUUCUGUGGAAUGUGUUUGUAUAAUUGUAAGUACAUAUUUCUGAAAUUCAUUUUUGGAAAAAUAUUACUUCAGGCUGUUUGUUUUUCAACAAUUUUGUUUUGCGCAUCAAAUAUUUAUUUUACAAUGAAAAGUGCCAGUGGACAUAUGAGCCGAAAAACUUUGGAACUAAAUCGCCAACUGUUUAUCACUCUUACAUUUCAAGUAAAGUCAUUUUUUGUGUGUUUUAUAAAAAUGAAACAUGGUUGACGAUUUUCAGACAAUUCUACCUUUUGUAAUGAUGUAUAGUCCUGUUGGAUUAUUGAUCGUUUUGCCAUUAUUCGAGGUCUACGUUGGAAGCAUUGCGAAUUUUGUUGGUGCAAGUCUAGCUGUCUAUCCAUCACUUGAACCGUUGAUUGCGAUGUUUUGUAUUAAGGAAUUCAGGAAAACUGUUACAUGUGGGUACAGCUUGCCAAAUACGCAAUUAAUUGAACAUGUUUUAGGUCCCUCACUUCGAAAGGUGACUCCAGCAACUGUCUCUUAUACUACCAGUUCACGUGCAGUUUGAGUUUGUUUCAUCAAACCCAUUAAAAAGAAAUUAAAUUGCUUAUCAGUUAAUUUAUUUUUGAAAAAUUGUAUUGACACUGAAAAAACUAAAAACAUAAUGUUUUAAUGUCUCUCUUAAAAAUAAAUAUAUUCUUUUUUGAAUAUUCACCAAAUGCAUGUUUAUUUUCAUUUAUUUUAACUUUUAAACUUCUAAUUUUUUUUCCAAUCGCAACGAUGGUUUUAGGAUAUAAAAUAUAAAACAGAAAUCUGAAAAUAUCAAAAAAAUAAUAAUUUUAAAAAGAUUGAAUAAUUCUCAUAUUCAAAAUGAAGUUUUCACCCCCUAUACCGUAGUUGAGAUGUAAGCUUGAAAAAUCACGCAUUGGGAAUUCAAAACUUGGCACGUAGGCUGACCAUCUGUAAAAAUCUGAAAAUUAUUUUGCAAAUGUUCUGUUUUUUGUGUUUUUUAAAAUAAAUUUUCUUUAUAUUCGACUUUUCUUUGCUUUCCUUAUAAAUAAUCUCGAACAUUUUGGCAAAUUUUUAAUGAUAAAGUAAUUGUUCUAGCUAUUCAACUAGUAUCAUCAUUCGCAAACUCUUUCUUGCUAGAACACUGAAAGAAUAUAAUUUUCAGAUGCACCGAGAAAAGAGCAACCCAGAUGAGAACAUGGCAUCUCUCAAAAAUUUAUUAUUAACUCAAAAAGAAAGUAAAUACACACAAAAAAAAACAAUGAAAAACAUAUAUUAUGAUAUUUUUGUAAAGUGAAUCGUCGCGCCAUCCUGCUCCCUGAAUAGCGACUCUUGAGAUAUCCCUUCGAGAAUAAUAUCAAAGUUAAAUGUAUCUUCAUGUCGUUGAACUAAAAAUGUUUCAAGUUCCGGUUUCAAACCGCCCAUCCAAAACUUCAAGAACAAAUUGAUGUCGUUAUUCGAUAAUAUUUCACUAAAACAGUGAAUCCGUGAGCAGUUCGUGAGAAGCAGGUCAUCCAGUGAGAUGUCGAUUUGGAAGAUAGAAAGUAUUUGAAAUUUCUGAGUCAAAAUUCGUUUUAGUGAGAGCUUUUGAAACGAGGUUAGUGUUCGAUGAAAGGUGGGAUGUAUUUUAAGGUGCUUGGUAGGUAAGAAUGCAUUGAUUACUUUGAAAAAGGGAUCCAUUUCGAAUUUCCAAUAAACAUGAAGGUUAUAAAUCUCAUGACUUUCCAAGCAUUCACUGAGUGAUUUGAAUUGGGCUUCGUCAAACUCAUUGUACACUGGAAAGUGAAACAAAUCAAUGUUCGAUGGGCUGAUUAUAGACAGAAAGUGAUUUAAGAAGCUCCUCACAUCAAAUUGUGGUACAGAAAAUAUUCUCGUUUGAAGUAGAUUGUACGCUGUAACUAGUCCGUUUUCGAAAUAAAAAGUUGCCUUAGAUUGAUUUCCAGACAAUGUAUAGGUAAUCAAUCUCCAGUUUUCUAUACAGAAGUUUGCGUCUUUGAAAACUUGAAACAUUCUGAUAAAGUCCUUAGUUUUAUUGGAGACCAGUGAGAAACAGAUUCUGGAAAAAAGAAUUGGUUAAUGAUUUGAAUUGAAAAAAGUAACUUACUGUUCGAUAAUUCCCAUAUUGAGUAGAACAUCUUUUAGAUUUGGGAGACGAAGAAGAGGAAAAGGGGAGACAGCAACCAUCACGAGAGACGGAUUACGAACGGAAUGAGAGAAGACAGUGGUCCAUUUAUAUAGCUGCAGAGCUGGUGAGUUACUUUAAUAUCGAUAUUUUCGGUUUGAGCCAAGAGGCAUGAUCUGCAGCGGUCCAGUGACUUGAGGAGACUCAGUUAUCUCGGGAUCCCAGGGGCUAGCGUAGGACCAAUUAUAGCAUCACUGCUGACCUCUUCCAACAAUUAGAAAAGGGCGAAUACGUGAGCAGCGUGGGAGGCGAUUGCACUGUGAAAUCGAUACCAAAGACCCAGGUCUUUUGUGCCACUCUCUCCACUUGGCCCAAACCCAAAAUAUCGAUAUUAAAGAAACUCACCAGCUCUGCAAUCAUAUAAUUGGACUACUGUCUCCUCUCAUUCUGUUUGCAGUCCGUCUCUCCUGAUGGGUGCUGUCUCCCCUUUCCCUCUUCUUCGUCUCCCAAACCUGAAAGAUGUUCUACUAAAUAUGGGAACUAUCCAACAGUAAGUUAUUUUCCUCCUUAAUUAAAAUCAUUAGUCAAUGAUUCCAGAAUAUGUUUCUCAAUGGUCUCCAAGAAAACUAAGGACUAUAUCAGAAUGUUUCAAGUUCUCAAAGGUGUAAGUUUAUGUAUAAAUUCACUUGGAUCGAUCCACUAUGAAUUGUCUGGAAAUCAAUCUAAAUCAAAUUUUUAUUUCCAACACGGACUAGUAACAUCGUUCAAGCUACCCGAAAUAAAGAUAAUCAAGUUUUCUGCGCCACAGUUUGAUGUGAGAAGCUUCUUAGAUCACUUUCUGUCUAUAAUCAACCCAUCGAAAAUUGAUUUGUCUUAUUAUCAAAGGUAUAAUGAGUUUGACGAUGCCGAAUUUGAAACCCUCAAAGAAUUCUUGAAAGGUCAUGAGAUUUCUAGCCUUCGUCCUUAUUCGCUACUCGAAAUGGAUCCCUUUUUCAAAGUAAUCAAUGCAUUCUUACCUACCAAGCACCUUAAAAUACAUCCCACCUUUCAUCGAACACUAACCUCGUUUCAAAAGCUCUCACUAAAACGAAUUUUGACUCAGAAAUUUCACAUACUUACCAUCUUACGAAUCCACAUCUCACUGGAAGACCUGCUUCUCACGAACUGCUCACGGAUUCACUGUUUUAGUGAAAUAUUAUGCAAGAGCACCCCCACUGCAAUUCUAUCGAUUCAUUUCAGAGCGCGCACAGCAGAUGUGCUCUAAUUACGACCUAGAAAAAGAUUGAUCAAUAGAUUUUGGGCCCUCUUGCACAGUUGGACUAGUUUCCUCUGACGUCACCAAAACACAAUUGCAACCGCCAUAACACUCAGCUACGCAGCGUUGAAAUGGAGUAUUUGGAUCAGGGGUGUGAGGCAAAUCUCAAAAUUUGUCGAGCUCGACAAGUUCGGCAAAUUCGGCAAAUUUGCCGUUCUUAACAAACUCCGAGGAUUUGGUACUUUUUUAUGGUUUUUGGAGCACAAAAACUACUGAAUUCUGAACAAACAUCUGGUUUCCGAAUAAGUUCCGUGUAGUAUGUCUGCUUAAACAUCUAAAUAACUCAAUUUUGUUUUAUUUUACUAAAUUUUCGGCGACAAAAUCAAUAGUUUUGGUCAAAAUUGUACUGUCAAAUUUUUGAUGUGUGCGGCAAACUACUAAAUUUGCCGAGCACGGCAAAUUCGGCAAAGCUGCUUUUUUUUUAAUUUGCCGUGCUUGCCAAAUUUUUUGGAGUUUUUCAUUUUCAAAAGUGGGAUAACUUGAAUCACAGCUAGAUGAGUUUAAAAUACUAUAAACUUGGAUUCUACUAAAGAUAUGGGUUAGCGGUAUUAAAGGUGAAGUAGCGCCAGUGGGGAUUUUGUCUAAAUGCACUUUAAAUUAUCCAGAACAACCAAAUAUCAUAAUAAAACACUCCAAAAAAUUUUAGAUUUUUCAUAAUUUCCGGUCAAAGUUUUGGCAAAUUGCCAAAAUUUUGAAAAAUACGAAUUUUUAGGAAAUUUAAAGAAAUGUCGAAUGUUUCGACCCCUAAAAUGUUUUAAUAAAAAUAAUUUAAACAAAAUUAAAACAUAAAAAAUGUGGAAAAAUUUUUUUUGAACGUCUUCCAAAUUUAUGAGUGGCAAAAACUGAGUAAUUGCCACUUAUACAGUAAAUAAAAAUGUUUCAAAAAGCUUUCGAAAAGUUUUAUCAUGAUAUUUGGUCAUUUUGGGAGCAAAGGAGUGGUUUUUAACAAUUUCCCCACUGGCGCUACUCCACCUUUAAGUGUUCAGGUAAAAUGCCAGCCACAUGGGAUAAGCAAAUUCAGACAUCUAAGAAAAAACCUCAAUGGCCCCAACUGUGUUUUCAAAAAAAUUAGCCAAUGUAUACCUCAUUUUUUGAAGAAAAAAAUUCCAGCCUGAGCUUUAAGACAUUCGUUUUGGCUCAAAAAUUUUUUUGGCUCGCAACGUUAUUAACUGCCAUAAUUUAGUGUGUAAAGCAGUUUCGAACAAAAAAUUUGCAAAAAAAAAAUCAAGAAAUUUUUGGACUGUUUGCUAUAUCAGUAGAUCCACAAUAAAUCUCGGCAAUAUAUUCUAAAUACAGUAUUACAGAUUUUAUUUGAAAAAUGGUGAAUGCAGUUCGGUUCCGACUCUACAACGAUGAGUUGCUGAAAAUCUGCCCCAGACCAGUGCUCAAUUUGGCAGUCAGAAAUCGGAGUUUUCAAAAUGUUUAUAAGUAGGUGAAAAUAUUAUAACUCAACUUGAAAAUGUUUAAAACUACAUGAAAAGUUAAUGAAAAAUAUAUUUAAAAUAUUAGUUUUUUGUUAGAAGUAUUGAGAAUAACCGAAAUACAAGAUAUCAUAUCAUUGAUUGAAAACUGGAAAAAAAACGUGAAUACACAAUAAUUUUUGACAUCAGAACCAUUUUUGGAAACUUUUGAUCUACAAAAUUUUUUUCAUAUGGAUUUGAUCUACACAUUUUUGUGCGGCAGAAAUCGUUUUUUUGUGAGUAAAAUAACAGAAAAAGAAGGACAGACACACAUGGUGUUAGGCUGUCUCAUUACAGUUUGAUCUACAAAAAAUGCGGGAAUAUUUUUCCAGAAAAAUAGUGACGUCAAACCAAAAUGUGAGCUCAGGUAGUCAGCCGAGAUUUGAGAUUCAAAGCAGGGGUGUGCGGCAAAUUUGCCGUUUGCCGAGCUCGACAAAUUUCGAAAUUUGCCGCACACGUCAAAAAUUUGACAGUACAAUUUUGACUAAACCUAUUGAUUUUUAGCCAAAAAUUUAGUAAAAUGACACAAAAUUGAGCUAUUUUGAUGCUUAAACAGACAUACUACGCGGAACUUAUUCAGAAACCAGAUGUGUGUUAAGAAUUCAGUAGUUUUGGUGCUCCAAAAAACAUAAAAAAAAUAUCAAAUUUUUCCGAGUUUGUUAAGCACGGCGAAUUUGCCGAAUUUGCCGUGCUCGGCAAAUAUUGAAAAAAGAGAUUUGCCGAAUUUGCCGAGCUCGGCAAAUUUUGAGAUUUGCCGCACACCCCUGAAUUCAAAGUUGUUAAAACUAAUAAAACAAAGGCUCAACAAUUUUAUUCAAUCUGAGUUGUUAAUGUAAAGUAGGAAGAUCUUCUGCACUUCGAACUUCGAGUUCGCAAAUCCACUCGUCUCCAGAUCCUUUCACAACGCUGAGCCAAACUUCCGAAGAAAAGCGUGUUCGGAUUUUCCGUGUAUCAGGAUAAUUAAUAGGCCUAGCCUGAUAGCCUAGAGCAUCUAACCUCCGAUUUGCCACGAUUCUAUUGUUAUAAAUAAGUAUUCUUUGUGAUCAUCCAGAAACUCCGAGCUCCAUCCUCCGUUGUACCGAAAGAAUUAAUUGUAAAAUGAGUCCCAACCUCUAUGCCGUUGUUCAACCAAUGUUCGACCAAUUUAGUUAUCAUGAACGAGAAUGUCGGAUGCUUUAAGUGUACUCUAAGAUUUGAAAUUCUCUGGACAUACAACGGAAAACCGUUAAUUCUCAGUACUUCCGCCGUUCGGACAACACGAUGGCUGAACUUUUCCGACCGAUCCCACAAGAAAUGCUCUUAGAAAAAUAGAUUAAGAUCCUCGAACUCCCAAACACAUGUGUUACCAAAUACUCGUUUAAAACUAAAUAAGAUUGUUGACGUUGACGACUUCAUCGGUAUGAUCGCCGGCUCAAAAAUAACAACUGCUCCAAAAAUUUCUUCUCAUCUUUGAGAAUUGAGAUUAAGAGCAUAUGAUACUCAGGAAAGAUACUAAAGGUGAAAAAGUAAUUCAAGGUUUUAUUAAAUUUUAAAGUUAUAUAAAAACGUAAAAAAACCAUUUUCAAAGUGAUCCAAAUAGCUGCACCACCCGUGACGUUCUCCUCUUGAAGCCAGGUACCUUUGAGCACAACUUAUCCACACAGAAAUUUCGAUACGGAAUAUGUAUAUAGAGCAUGAUAAGCGUGGAAAACAGGCCGUGGGCUCCGAUGGUUAUAAAACAAAAAUUGUUAGCAACUUGGUUGUAGAUCAGGAAAACCCGGGAAAUCACCAAAUAGCACAGUGGGAUCAAGAGUAUGGCAAGUGGGAUGCAGGUUUGGAUGUUCAGGGCUCGUAGGAACUGCUUUUGCAUUUUUAUAGUUUGUGGGGAUAGGGAGAGCUCCUUGCUUUGGGCGCUCAUAUUUUUGUAGAUCAAAAAUGUGAAAAUUCCGGAUUCCAGCAAUAAUAGGGUCGACAUAAAAAACACGGGUAGUACUAUAAACCGGAAAUCUGUGGCUAGAACGAAGAUUUUUGAGGUUUGGAGCUCUUUGGGGAGCUCGGGGAGCAUCUGAAAUUAGAAGUUAUUUUUUCUCGGGCCUGUGAGACGUCGGCCGCUCUAACAAAAUUACCUCAAAAACCUCCUGCAGCGCCUGUUUCUGGUCUGGAACAUAAUAAGGAACAUAAUUUGUCGAGCUCGGCAAACGGCAAAUUUGCCGCACACCCCUGCUUUGAAUCUCAAAUCUCGGCUGACUACCUGAGCUCACAUUUUGGUUUGACGUCACUAUUUUUCUGGAAAAAUAUUCCCGCAUUUUUUGUAGAUCAAACUGUAAUGAGACAGCCUAACACCAUGUGUGAGAGAUUUAUGACGUCACUUUCAUGGGUGACCUUGCCAUUCUCCUCUUGACGGGUGUACGGGUCCGCACUGUUCACUCUCCGAGAAAUAGUGGUGAACUGGAGAGAGUGUAAGUUGGCUAGAGUAACACAAGAAGACGGCAUUUAUUCAUAGAUUUCCUAUGAGACUACUCAAUACUUUACGGAAGCCUUUUAGAGUUUUCCGCCGAUUUUUAAACUCUUUAACUACUCGAAAAAUAGGUGGGAAGGCUUUUUCCAAAAAAAAAAAACGUUCUGAACACUAAUUUUUUUUAUUCAGAAAACAAAUCAUUCACCGAGCAGCUAACUGAGGAAGCAGAUGAAUUUAUAUUUUCUAGCUCAAAAUGUUGGCAACCUUCCAGGUUAAAAUUUUUAAAAAAGUAUUAAUUGCCAAAAUAUUCGAAUUUUCAGAGAUGAACUCUCUCAACGAUGCCCAUCACCCCAAGAUUCCUAUAUUAGCACUUCCUCAAAUUUCAGCACUGUUUCCGAAAAAACUUCCAGUUUUGGCAUCCCAGAGGUUCUCAGCAAGAGUGAACAUUUCACAAAAAGCCAAAAGAUGAUGACGUAUCCAUGCCUGAAGUCUGUGCUCGUUAACUUCGAUCCAAAUUUGAG
rnacentral:sRNA from 1 species